rnacentral:lncRNA from 1 species
AAUCUAUCCCCAAAUCCACCAAAUGCACCAAUCAAUCUCUCUCUCUCUCUCUCUCUCUCUCUCUCUCUCUCUCUCUCUCUCUCCAAAUGCACCAAUCAAUCUCUUUCUCUCUCUCUCUCUCUCUCACCAAAUGCACCAAUCUCUCUCUCUCUCUCUCUCUCUCUCUCUCUCUCUCUCUCUCUCGUAGUAUUAAUCAAUACUGUCUAGCUUUUUUUAAAAUUUUAUUUUUAUUUUUAUUUUUACUUUUAUUUUUAUUUUUUGUCUUUGUCGAGGCCCUCGUUGCCUCAGCUUGUUUCACCUAAUUCAUCUCUUCAAUGAAUGAAGUGGGUAGCAUGCUACCUUUUCCUCAAAAAAAUAGUGUCUAGCUAAAAUACUAAUAGUAUCAAGCACUUUGUGCUAUUCAGUUUUUCACCACUAAAUCUACCCAUUGAUCAAUUUCAUCUCUUAGAUCAUGCUAUUCUACUAAUCACUCACUAAACCUUAGGAGGACCACCACUAAACCCUAGGCCUCCGUUUGGUUCGGGGUUAAGGAAAAAGUAGCUAUUUCAGGGAUAGGGUUAAGUUCAGGGUUAAAGUGGGGUUAAAGUUUUUUUGUGUUUGGUUGGGGGUUGGAGUUAGUCUAGAAUAAUGAAAAAUAGUGUUUCGUUGGAGUAGGUGGGAUAAGAAGAUAAUGAUUGAUAAAGAAGGAUAAUGAUUGGUUGGAAUAGGUGUGAUAAGAAAGAUAGUGGGUUAUUAUGAAUAGAAAAUAGUGUUGGGUUGGAGUUUGGUGGGAUUAGGUGAGGUUAGUUAACCCGGAAUAAUUUAUUUGAGGUGGGGUUAGCUAACUCCACCUAUUUUUUGGGGUGUUUGGGGAUAAAAUGGGAGUUAAGGGAUUAUUCCACCCCUUAACCCCCAACCAAACAAGGGCUAGGAGGUCCAAUGUAUAGUUUUUCAUCUAAGGUUAUAAAUUUAGUAGUGAAGAGGCCCAAAUAACUAUUAGUAGUAUUCCAGCACAACUAUAUAUAUAUAUAUAUAUAUAUAUAUGCCGACCGUCCCUAGAGUAAGUGGCAAAGGGCUUGGUGGUUGGUACUCGAGACCCAAGUUCGAAUCCUAGUUUAUUCACAUUUUCAGCUAAGUUUAUUUCUAAAUGAAAUAAACAAAGUGAGUAGCGUGCUUUCUAUAUGCCGACCGUCCCUAGAGUAAGUGGCAAAGGGCUUGGUGGUUGGUACUCGAGACCCAAGUUCGAAUCCUAGUUUAUUCACAUUUUCAGCUAAGUUUAUUUCUAAAUGAAAUAAACAAAGUGAGUAGCGUGCUUUCUAUAUGCCGACCGUCCCUAGAGUAAGUGGCAAAGGGCUUGGUGGUUGGUACUCGAGACCCAAGUUCGAAUCCUAGUUUAUUCACAUUUUCAGCUAAGUUUAUUUCUAAAUGAAAUAAACAAAGUGAGUAGCGUGCUUUCUAUCUCUCUAUAUAUAUAUAUAUAUAUAUAUAUAAACAUAUAUGAAGUCACAAUAUUUUUUGCCACGUGGUAUGUUACUUUUCAUUCUCAUAACUCAACUUUAAAUCAAAUCACCUUCUCCUCUUAUCAACACCCAACCUUUCACCUCCCCACUCUAAUUAUAUGCAAGCUAGUGCAACAUUUAAUUAUAUGCACAAUAUUAAUAUUCUUUAAUCCACUCCCCUUCUCCAUUAAUCUCCCAUCCUCUCUCUUUUGCAACUUUUUUACAUGCAUCGUAAAAAAAAAUUUUGCCACGUGACAUGUUACGUUCAUUCUCAUAGCCCAACUUUAAAUCAAACCACCUUUUUCUCUUCUCAACGCACAACCCUUCACCCCCCACUCCUCUAAUUUACAAGGUGCAACAUUUAAUUACAUGCAUCAUAUUAAUAUUCUAUCAAUUAGUGGGUUCUAACUAUAAUUUUAUUUUUUUAACAGUUGAAUUUAGUCAUACAAAUUUACUGUACUUAAAAUGGUAUAGUUUUCAAUAUAUCAAUAAGUUGUAAAUAUAAAUUUUAUUAAGAUUUUUAAAUUUUGUUUCUAUUAUCUAUCCGCUGCAUCGUGCGAGUCUCUACACUAGUGUGUGUGUAUAUAUAUAUAUAUAUAUAUAUAUAUUAUAUAUUUAUAUAUAUAUAUAUAUAUAUAUAUAUAUAUAUAUAUAUAUAUAUAUAUGUCGACGGUCGGAUUCUGGUCGAUUUUAAAAACCCGAACCCGAACCCGACUCCAAACCCGAGACCCGAACCCGAACGGCGAACCCAAUGGAUUUUAAAAUUCAUAUCCAACCCAGAACCCAACCAAAAAUCCAAAACCCAAACCCGAAAAAUUUGAACCCGAAACAAUUAUUUUUUUUCAAUAUUUCAAAAUAUAUUAUAUUAAACCUAAAUUUUAAAAUCAAAUUCAAAUAUAACCAUCAAAUUUUUAUAUAUAGAGUACUAGCUCUCGCGUACUUUCGAAGUACAGGAGCCUGUGCUUGUAAUGUUGUUUUCGAUGAUAGGACGUUCGAUUCGACGAUCGGCUCCGUUAGGUAUGAUCUACCCUAUUGGAACUAUCUAGAAACCAAAUUUUAGAUUUUUUUGCCAUGCAUUUACUAAGCGAUCAAAAAGUCUAAAAAAUGACUAUUUUAACGGUCGAUGUGGCACAUUUUUUAAGUUCAACGGUGUAGAAGUAUCCAAUUACAUGAAAUUUAAUAAAAUUCUACUAACAUCAGUAGCAAGAUCAAUACUUCCGAUUUAAAUUUGAAUCCUUUAUCACUUUUUUAUGAGAUUUUAUUUUCAGCCGUUCAUUUUGAGGCUACUCGUUCACUAGACAAACAAAAUCAAAAAAUUAUGAAUUUGUUUCUAGAUAGUUCUGAUAGCGUAAAUCAGUUUACGGGAAUCGAUCGCCGAAUCGGAUGUCCCAUCAUCGAAAACAACUUACAAGCACGGGGCCUCCCGUACUUUCGAAGCAUAGGAGCCAGCUCUUUAUAUAUAUAUAUAUAAUAUAUAUAUAUAUAUAUAUAUAUAUAUAUAUAUAUAUAUAUAUAUAUAUAAUACAAAAUAAAUUCGGGUUCGGGUCGGGUUCGGGUUCGAGUCGGGGUACAAUCAAAAUCCAUAUCCGAAUCCAUAUCCGUCGGGUUUCUAUUUUUGAUAUCCAUAUCCGAAUCCAUAUCCAUAUCCAUCGGAUAUAUCCGUUUCAUUCGGGUUCAGGUUCGGAUAAAAUUUCGGGUAUCCAUACUCAUUGACAUCCCUAUAUAUAUAUAUAUAUAUAUAUAUAGAGAGAGAGAGAGAGAGAGAGAGAGAGAGAGAGGGAGAGAGAGAGAGCAUGAAACUAUGUCAAGCACUUGGUGUUUGUAAAUUUUUUAUUGUUUGAUUUACACUUUGGACCAUUUCCAUCCAUUAGAUUAUACUAUUCAACCAGCCACACACUCAACCCUAGGGACUAUUAUCAUCCUAACCGCACAUCCCUUCAUCUAAGGGUCGAAAGUACCAUUGACUUGGUACUACUAGAAUCAUUCCAGAUUAAUUCUAUAUAUAUAGAGAGAGAGCUAGGCUGGUAUACCAAGUUGUUUUCAAUGAUACGUCUUCCAAAUCAAUGAUCGGCUCAGUUAAACUUAAUCUACACUAUUGAAAGUAUUUGGAAACUAAAUUUCAUAAUUUUUUGGCAUCGUUUAUCUAUCAAACGAGUAGUCUAAAAAUGAACGACUGAAAAUAAAAAUCUCAUAAAAAAUGAUGAUAAAAAAUUUGAAUUUAAGAUCAGAGGUAGUGAUCUUACUCUAAAUAGUGACAAGAAUUUUCUAUAAAAAUUUCAUCAGAUCUGAAUUGUUUUAUACCGUUAAAUUCACUAACACAUCACAUCUACCAUUAAAAUUGUCAAUUUUGAGACAUUUUGAUUACUAGCCAAAUGAUUCCGAAAAAUUAUGAAACUUAGUUUCCAAAUCUUUAAUAGUGUAGAUCAAGUCUAACGGAGCCGAUCGUCGAUUUGGAAGCCACAUCAUUGAAAACAACUUAGUAGCACGGAGACCUCCGUGCUACCGAUAGUAUACCAGCAUAGCUCAUAUAUAUAUAUAUAUAUAGUUGGACUGGGCUACUAUUAGUAGCAAAAUCCCAUUGUUGCUACCAAUUUUUUAGCCUUUGGAUCAACUCUUUUCAUUAUUUCUAACCAUUGGAUUAAAUACUAUAACCCAGUGGGGACCACUCAACCCUAGGGGAACCACUCAACUCUAACCGAUUAAUAUCAUUCUGACCGUACAAUUUUUCAUCCAAGGGUUAAAAACUUGAUAGCAAAAAGAGCGUUUUACUAUUAAUAGUAUUACAGCCUAAUUCUAUAUAUAUAUAUAUAUAUAUAUAUAUAUAUAUUUUGUUAUUGAUAAUUUGAUUUAAUUUGAUUUAAUGAUUUAAUAGUGUUUCAUAAUAAAAUUCUUGUUAAUUGUGUUAUAUAUUUAUAUUUAAUUGUAUAUUGAUUUAAUUUGAUUUAAUAGUGUUUCCUAAUUGUAAUUAUAAUUAUAUUUAAUUGAUAUAUUUGAUUUAAUUUGAUUUAAUUUGAUUAAUGUGUUCCUAAAAAAUUCUUGUUAAUUGUAUAAUAAUUUAUAUAAUUGCUAUAAUUUGAUUUAAUUUGAUUUAAUAGUGUUUCUAUUGUAUAUAUAAUUAUAUUUAAUUGGUAUAAUUUGAUUUAAUUUAUUUAAUUUGAUUUAUUUGAUUUAAUAUGUUUCCUAAUAAAAUUCUUGUUAAUUGAUAUAUAUAAUUAUAUUUAAUUGGUAUAAUUUGAUUUAAUUUGAUUUAUAGUGUUUCUCUAAUUGUAUAUAUAAUUAUAUUUAAUUGUAAUUUUAAUUGGUAUAAUUUGAUUAAUUUUAUUUAAUUUGAUUUAAUUUGAUUAAUAGUGUUUCCUAAUAAAAUCUGUUAAUGUAUAUAAAAUUAUAUUUAAUUGUAUAAUUUGAUUUAAUUUGAUUAAUAGUGUUUCUAAUUGUAUAUAUAUUAUAUUUAAUUGUAUAAGUUGUUAAUUUGUAUAAUUUGAUUUAAUUGAUUAAUAGUGUUUCAUAAUAAAAUUGUUAUUCUUAUUUGAUUUUGGCACAUUGGCAAGCAUAGAGAAAGGCAAGUGACAGUUUUUGUCACCCCCGCGACAACCGCUAUUGGACCGGGUCGCGGCGCCGACGACAGACCGCGCGAACGGACCGGGAAUCCCUGUAACGCGACAGAGUCUCCAGUAGUCCAAGGCGUCGCAAUCCAAAACAAUCAACGAAUGUUCAACAAGGAACGGAUAUCAAUCCAGAUUGCAUAAGGAUUAUCAAAUACAUAUCUACUUGAUAUUACAAGCAUUCAUUUUACAACCACUCUUUACAUCACAGUUUCAGUUUUACAUUUUUACUUCAAAUUAACAACUUAUUAUUACAUCAGAGUUUACAAGUUUGAUACAUUUUCUCUUCUUAUCUUCUAGACCCCAAGCUAGACUGUCUCAGGGUACUGCUACCUCGGUCUCUGUGGUGGGCGCUAUCUAUCUGAGCACGCCCUCGCGCCGCUCGCCGCACACGAACGACUGAAAACACCAAAACACGUGGGGUGAGAACAACUCAUGGUUCCCAGUGGGUACGGCCACCAAGGGAAAGGCUCGACGAUAGUCCGAGGAGGCACUGCAACAUGUUAGUUCAACAAUAUACAACAGAUAUAUUAUAUUCAUUUGAAAUACAUGCAUGCUCACAAUAUGCGUAUUGAAAUCAUGCAACACUAGUAGAUUCAUUUGAAUUCUACUUUACUUUAGCCAUAACUUUACUCUAAUUUCUAUUACCUUAGGAUCACAACACUAACACACUAGCUUCAAGUAGGUCUAUUUACCUUAGCUUAAGCCUCUAUUUCUAGCUCUAAGGUCCUCUAUACUAUCAUAGCUAACCACCCGACUCGGGCUUCGAGUCAAUCAUCUGGGAUAGUCCGCGCACUGGCUGCUCAACAGGCCUACCGCACUCUCUCUGACUGCACCUCCUAGCGGCGAAAUCGUCGCACACGCUGAACACGGCUCGAGUCACAGACUUGACAUCGGGCGAUCGCGUUGUACUUACCCAGCGUGAGUCGAGACAUGACAUACCGUCUGGCGCGUGAACGGGCUCGCACCACACCCACAACGGUCAUGUCAGACUCAGUCACCUGGAGCACCGCGCAUCGUACUUACCCAGUAUGGAUUCAGUCUACUCUGGCGGUCUGAUCCUCAAAUGGCUUAACAUCCGGCGCGAAAUCGUCGCACACAACGCCACAGAACAAUGGUUCAAGCCCCGGCGGUGAUCUCCAUAUGAUCGCCCAAUCUACCCACCGGUACCAAGCUCGGCGGCAGAAGUCGUCGCCGAACGCCUAAGCUGUACCGAGGGACAUAUAAGUCUGGGAUUCCGGAAUCCACUUACCACAGGUUGAGGUUCAUAGCCACCCUAUACUGUCGACGUAGCUCAUCUAGUGGCUAUACACUUAUACUCAUCAACUAGGUUCCAAUACUCUAGGUUCUAUGCCACAUCAACUUAACCUAGAUCACUUGCUAGUUCUUGUCAUCUCGCCUAGAUGUCCAGCUUCCUAGGUUUACUAGUUCAACCUUGAGUUUAUAACACAAGGUAACAUGCACACACCUAGAUUGUUCGGACUCUAGUUUACUAAUCAAACCUAUGUUCUUUAACAAUUAGGUUAGAUGGCCUUCUCGAUCUAUUUGACAACCUAGUUGUCCCAAUAACUCUAUUUACACUAGUUUAUUAUGUCACUUAUUAGCUCUCUAUUAUCGUACUUGCAUUCUCUACUUUACUAGAUUAUAUAGGCUAUGCUCAUUAUGCUUUACUUAGGACAUUUUCCACCUUGUCAUAAUUAUCAUGCCAUUCUUAGCGUUAACUAGCAUUAAUACUUAGGCAUGCUUUCCAUCUAGCCUUUGCAUCUUAUAUUAAUGCAUGCUCUCUACUUAACAUUUACUAGUAUGGCUAUAUGCAUCAUUAUUUAACAUUCAUUUAAUACUAUGUCAUUUUUCAUCAUGCAUUCCAACUACUUUACUUGCAUUAUUUAUUUAUCUGCUCAUCAUGGCACUUCUUUUAGUUUUCUGCAUAUUAUCUAUGCAUUGUUAUUGAACAUGCAUCUUACUAUACAUCAUGAUUCAUUGUUAACGUUGACAUCCUUUAUUUAGCCUUUACCUGUUCAUAUUUACUAAUGCAUCAUUGAGCCUUCGUCUAUCAUACACAUCGCAUCAACGUGAGAUUACAUGUGCUAAGACAUAAAAGGCCGACCUAGUCGCUGUUCGGUAAGCAACAGCCCACCUGAUUUGCGUUCCGAUUGCUUGUCGACACGUUGCAUCGGCCUCGCCCGAGCACUCGCACCCGUUUGGGCGCCGAACUCUGCGCGACUUAACGAUACGACCUCCGAUCGCGAUCCGCUCUUUUCGGAAGUGGCUGUAUUCCUUGACUGUCCCAAGAUCUCCGGUUCUGAUUCACCGAUUUUUUAGACAGUUUAUUUCGCGUGUGCGCGCUUUCCUACCAAAAACCGACCGUUUCGUCAAUAACGUUACGCGUACACUAGUCGUAUUGUGCGAAUCUGAGCAUUCAUCGCGUUCGUUAGGAUCCCCAAUUAGGUUUCCAACGGUCAAUAAUAAAACCCCAUAUGAGCAAACCCUCUUUUGGGAUGCUCUAAUAUGACAUAUGCUUCAAUACUCGAUUCGAUCUAUAAACAAGCAAAAGAGAGCUUGUCCAGUUCUUAGAGCUCAUUUUGGACCAUUAAAACCAUAUCAUAGGUGUUAGAACAAACCUAAAAUCACCAUUAAGGCAUUAUGAAGAACACCAUGGAUUUCAUGUUUUGGCUCUACGAAGUUCUAAUAUGCUUGUAGGUAGAUACAAACACCAAAGAUCGAGGUUUAAAACCCAUUUACAAAAAUCUACAUGGAGGAGCUUGUGAAGCUACUCUCGUAAGCUCCAGUGGAGUGAAGAUGAAGAGAUGAAUGAUGGAUGAUGAUGCUCUUCUCCUCUUUCAUCCCUCCUUUUCUCUCCUUUCUCCAUUUUUUUUCUUUUUUUCCUUUUCAUCUCUUUCUGAAACGGUGAGAGAGAGGGAGAAGACACGAGAGAGAAGAGAUGAGGAGAGAUCUGCCUGUGAGGGAGAGGGGGUUUAGGGCUAUUACAUUAGUAACAAUUGCCAAAUAAACCCUAAUCAUUUAUAUUGCCAGCAGCUAAUUCUAUGCAAAUUCAUGCCAAAGUGUACCGUACACUUUCCCGUCACCGAGUUGUUUACAGGGCCUUUUUCACGAAAAACCCGAGAGUUGCAUAUUCUUCGGGUCGCUUGUUGUAUACCGGUUACAACCAUCAAUUUACCGGUACACAAUGCUCAGACUUGUUUUUAGCUUGUUUCGACCAUUUCGCGCCGAACAACUGCUAACACUUUCUAACUGCUUUAGAAAUCAUUCUUAACCCCUCCAACCUUUGAUAGAAUGUUAACUGGAAGUCGUCCAUUUCAUCUGAUUCGCAUACUUUAGCAAAUUUGGCUAAGCUCGUUUUCGUCCAAACCUCGGGGUUAAUUUUACAACAAAGUGUCUACUUUAGUGUGAUAGUAGAAUAGAAUUCAGUUAGUAUAUAUAUAUAUAUAUAUUUAUAUAUUAAUAUAUAUAGUAUAUAUAUAUAUAGAGUCGGCUACUAUAACGUAUGUACAUAAGACUUGGUAUUAUUGGUUUUCUACCGUUGUAUCUACCGGUUGAUCAUUUCCACCCGUAUAGAUUAUAUCUAUUAAACCAACUACCCAUCAACCAAGGGGACGCACUGUCAAUUAGAUCGGGGACCACUAUCAUCUCUGAACGCAAUAUCCUAUUCAUCCAACGCCAAAACUCAAUAGUUACCAAGGCCUUGUACUAUUGAUAUAUAUGUAGCAUACAUUAGUAUAUAUAUUAUAUAUAAUAUAUAUAUAUAUAUAUAUAUAAAAGAAGAGAGAGAGAGAGAGAGAGAGAGAGACGACGAGAGAGAGAGAACGAGAGAGUGGCGGCUAGGGAUUGCUUUAUGGAGCACGAGGGCUCCGUGAUCACUUUGUUUUCGUGUUGGACUUUCAACAUGAUCGCUCCGCUAGAUUGAUCUAGAGGAUUUGAAUAAUCUAGAAAAUAAUUUGUUGCGAUUUUUCGAUAUACAUUUGCUAGUGAUCAAAGUGCUCCAAAGAUCAACGGUGAAAAUAAAAAUCUUACAAAAUAUGAUGAUAUGCAAUUUAAAUUUAGAUCAAAUUAAUUGAUCUUGUUUAUAUGGUAUAAAGAAUUUUUCUAUCAAAAAUUUUUUCAUUGUGAUUUGAUAUUUACAUCCAAUUAAACCUGCAACCGCUUCCAGGCCAUUUUAAAUUAUUGAUUUUGACCCGUUCGAUUUAUUAGGGCAAAUGACAUCGAAAAUAACACAAAUUUAUUUUCUAGGUACUUCAAUACUCUAGAUCAACUCUAAUAGAGCCGAUCGUCGAUUCGAAAGUCGAACAUCGAAAAACAACUUGGAAGCACGGAGGCUCCGUGGCUCCAGAAGCAUAGCCAGCCAUGCUCUUAUAUAUAUAUCAAGUCUAAGGAGUCCGAUCGUCAUUUGGAAGCCGCAUCAUCGAAAUCUAACUUGUAGCUACGGAGCCUCCGGUGUACCAGUGUUUUCGAUGACGACGAUCUCAUCCAUUAGACUUGAUCUUACUUUAAAAGUAUUUAGAAACUAAAUUUCAUAAUUUUUCGAUACGUCAUUUAUCCUAUCAAACAAGUAAGUCUAAAUAUGAACGCUUGAAAGUAAAAAUCCAUAUAAAAUAAUAAUAAAAGAUUGUUAAAUUCAGAUCAGAUAACGAAUCUUACUCUAAAUAGUGAAAAGAAUUUCUAUUAAAUUUCAUCGAUUUGAUUGUUUUACNNNNNNNNNNNNNNNNNNNNNNNNNNNNNNNNNNNNNNNNNNNNNNNNNNNNNNNNNNNNNNNNNNNNNNNNNNNNNNNNNNNNNNNNNNNNNNNNNNNNNNNNNNNNNNNNNNNNNNNNNNNNNNNNNNNNNNNNNNNNNNNNNNNNNNNNNNNNNNNNNNNNNNNNNNNNNNNNNNNNNNNNNNNNNNNNNNNNNNNNNNNNNNNNNNNNNNNNNNNNNNNNNNNNNNNNNNNNNNNNNNNNNNNNNNNNNNNNNNNNNNNNNNNNNNNNNNNNNNNNNNNNNNNNNNNNNNNNNNNNNNNNNNNNNNNNNNNNNNNNNNNNNNNNNNNNNNNNNNNNNNNNNNNNNNNNNNNNNNNNNNNNNNNNNNNNNNNNNNNNNNNNNNNNNNNNNNNNNNNNNNNNNNNNNNNNNNNNNNNNNNNNNNNNNNNNNNNNNNNNNNNNNNNNNNNNNNNNNNNNNNNNNNNNNNNNNNNNNNNNNNNNNNNNNNNNNNNNNNNNNNNNNNNNNNNNNNNNNNNNNNNNNNNNNNNNNNNNNNNNNNNNNNNNNNNNNNNNNNNNNNNNNNNNNNNNNNNNNNNNNNNNNNNNNNNNNNNNNNNNNNNNNNNNNNNNNNNNNNNNNNNNNNNNNNNNNNNNNNNNNNNNNNNNNNNNNNNNNNNNNNNNNNNNNNNNNNNNNNNNNNNNNNNNNNNNNNNNNNNNNNNNNNNNNNNNNNNNNNNNNNNNNNNNNNNNNNNNNNNNNNNNNNNNNNNNNNNNNNNNNNNNNNNNNNNNNNNNNNNNNNNNNNNNNNNNNNNNNNNNNNNNNNNNNNNNNNNNNNNNNNNNNNNNNNNNNNNNNNNNNNNNNNNNNNNNNNNNNNNNNNNNNNNNNNNNNNNNNNNNNNNNNNNNNNNNNNNNNNNNNNNNNNNNNNNNNNNNNNNNNNNNNNNNNNNNNNNNNNNNNNNNNNNNNNNNNNNNNNNNNNNNNNNNNNNNNNNNNNNNNNNNNNNNNNNNNNNNNNNNNNNNNNNNNNNNNNNNNNNNNNNNNNNNNNNNNNNNNNNNNNNNNNNNNNNNNNNNNNNNNNNNNNNNNNNNNNNNNNNNNNNNAGCGCUAUUGCUUACCAAAACGACGUUUGGUCUAACUUCGAGUUAUACAUGUCGGGUUGUCGAAUGGAGAUUUAUCGUGUUGUUAGGUCCCCAAUUUAGGUUUCCAAGCUGGUCAAAUAGAUCAAACCACAUCUGGCAAACCUCUUUGAGGAUGCCCUCAUGAUGGAAUAUGCUUUCCUACGAUUUCGAUCUUAUAAAGAGCAAGCAAAGGAGGGCUUGUCGAGUUCUUAGAGCUCAUUUAGGGACUAUUUUAACAUUCAUGGGGGGUGUUUUAGAACAAAGCCUAGAAAUCCCCUUAGGCAUUAUUGAAGAAAACAUGGAUUCAUGUGUUCUUGGCUUCGGAAGUUCUAAGCUAUGUAAGGUAGAUUCAACAAACGAUCGAGGGUUUAACCAUCCUACAAAAAAGUCUACCAUGAGAGGCUUGGAAAGCUUACGCUUCCUAGAGUCAAGGAGAGAAGAGAUGAAUGAGGAUGAGUGAUGGUGAUGAUUCUUCUUCCUCACUCUUCUCCUUGUUUUUCUUUUCCUUUAUUGCUAUUCAUCUUUUUCUUCUCUUUUCUUCGAACAGUUGAGAGAGAGAGGGAGAGAACGAGGAAGAAUGACGGGGAGAGAUAAUGAUGUGAGGAGCGAAGGGGUUUAGGGCUAUUUAAUUACGGGUAAACAUUGCAAAUAAACCCCUCAUAUUUAUAAUGUAGCCCCCCCAGCAGAUAUUUCUAUGCCAAUUAUUGCAAAGCUGUACCGUACACUUCUCCAUGUCGACAGUGUUUUUUUCAGCUUUUUCCUAAACCGAGGAGUUGCUUUCUUCGGGUCGCUUUUGUACCGGUACAACCAUCAAUAUGUACGGUUACACAAUGUCAGACUUGAUUUUUAGCUUAGUUUUCGAUCUAUUCGCGCCGAAACAAGUAAACGUUUCUAAUUUUUGAACUAGCAUCUGUAACCCCUCAACCUUGAUAGAAUGUUUAAUGGAAAUCGUCAUUCAUCUUAUUGAUAUUUUAGCUAAUUUGGCUAAGCUCGUAUUUUUUCCCAAAAUCGGUGGUUAAUGUUUUAACAAAGGGUUUCUUUAGUGUUGUAAAUUAGAUUAGUUAGUAUAUAUAUUAUAUAUGAUUAUAUAUAUAUUAUUUAAUAUAUGGAAUAUAUAGAGGUCCGGCCUACUUAUCUGUUGAAUCGUACUAAGACUGGUUUAUUGAGUUUUUACGUUGAUCUACGUGAUCAUUUUCAACCGUUAGAUUAAUACUAUUAACAAAAUAGCCAUAAACAAGGGGACACUGUAUUUAAUCUGGGGAGCACUAUAUCCUAACCGAUAUCCUUUCAUUCAAGGCCAAAAUCAAUAGUACCAAGGGCUUUGUACUAUGAUUAGUUGUAGAUAAUUACUAUAAUAUUAUAUAUAUAUAUAUAUACUUAGUAUAUAUAUUAUAAGAGAGAUGAGAAGAGAGUGAGCAUCAAGAUUGCUGAGAUUGGCGGGAUCGAUGAGAGAGGAGAUGAGAGAGAGAGUGCAGGCUAGGAUGAUUAUAGAAGACUGGUAGGCUCCGUGCUUUCCACUUUGUUUUCGAUGGUGCGGAAUUUCGAAUCGAUUGAAUCGGUCGAUAGACUUGAUCUAGGUAUUUGAAGUUUAGGGAAAUAAUUUUUUUGGCGAUUUUUCGAUUUCAUUGCCUGAGUCGAUCAAGUGGCUCAAAUCAACGGAUUGAAAUAAAUCUUAAAAAAUAUGAUGAUAUUGACAUUAUAAAUUUUUGAUCAAAGUUAUAUGAUUUGUUUUAAUAUGGAUAUAAAGCAAUUUUCUAUCAAAUUUCAUGCUGAUUUGGAUAUUUCUACAACCAGUUAAACUGUGCACCGGAUUACAGGCCCUUUAAUUAUUGAUUUUGAGCCCUUCGUUAGUUAGGACAAAUGACAUCGAAAAUCACAAAUUUAUUUUAUAGUAUUCAAAUCUGAUAGUAUCAACUCUAAUAGAGCCCGAUGUCGAUUCGAAAGUGAAACAUCGAAACAAAUUGGAAGCACGGCAGGCUCCGUGCUCCAAGAGCAUACGGCCAGUCUCUCUUAUAUAUAUUAUAAGUCUAACGGAGCGAUCGUCGUUUGGAAGGCAUCAUCGAAACAACUUGGUGCACCGGAGCGGUCAGUGUCAAGUUUUGUUUUCGAUGAUCGGUACGAUCGGCUCAUUAGACUUGAUUUACUAUUAAAAGUAUUUAGAAACGUUAAUUUCAUAAUUUUUGAUUCCAUUUACUAUCAAAGGUGUCUAAAAUUGAACGGCUGAAAAUAAAAAUAUCAUAUAAAAUGAGUAUAAAAGAUUUAAAUCAAGAUCAGAUAUAAUAAUUUGCUCUAAUAGUGGAAUAUAAGAAUUUUCUGAUUAUAAUUUUCAUAUGGAUUUGGAUUGUUUUACACGUUACUCUCAACCACCACAUCGGCAUUUUAAAUUGUCAUUAUUGAAGGAUCUUUUGAUUCACUAAGUCAAUGAUGAAGUCGAAAAAUAUGGUGAAUUUUGUUUCCAAAUACUUUCAUAGUAUGUGAUACAAGUCUAAUGGAGCGAUACUUCGAUUUGAAGCCGCAUGCAGUCGAAAACAGUGGUAGUACGGAGUCGUGAGCUUCGAUACAACGGGCCUUUUGACAUCAUUUGUUUUCGAUGGAAGAGCCUCCAAUCGACGAUCGGCACGCUUGAUGAUCUAUAUUGAAGUUAUUUAGAAAUUAAAUUUCAAAUCUUUCGACAUCGAUUUUAAAAUAAUGAUCAAAGGGUUUCAAAAUUGUGUAAUUUUAUAUGCGUGAUAUGAGGGUUUUCUCGUUUAUCUUUACGGCAAACGUAGAUAUCAAAUCAAUUUGAAUUUUUGUUAGAAAUUCUCUUAACUAUUUAAAAAAAGACUCCUCUACUCUUCGAUACUCUGAUCUACAAGUAUCUAUAUCAUUUUUAAGAAUCUUCAUUUUCGGUUAUUUUUGUGUCCACUUGAUGGAUAAGAGAGUAUAUCGAAAAUGUUAUGAAUGAUUAAAUUUUAAUCUUCAAUGGUAUAGAUCUAUGUUUACGGUUGUGAUAUCAAUUUGGAGGCUCCUCUCGAAAACAAUGGGUGGGAAACAGUGUCGUUUGCUUACGAUAGUAUUUAGCUCAACUCUCUUCUCUCUUCUCUCUUCUUUCUCUCUCUCUUCACCAAUUAAAUAUAAUUAUAUAUACAAUUAACUAGAAUUUUAUUAGGAAACACUAUUAAACACUAUUAUUAUAAUUAUACUCAAAUAUAGAAUAGCAAUUUUAUUAGGAAACACUAUUAAAUCAAAUUAAAUCAAAUUAUACCAAUUAACAAAUUAUACCAAUUAAAUAUAAUUAUAUAUACAAUUAACUAGAAUUUUAUUAGGAAACACUAUUAAACACUAUUAUUAUAAUUAUACUCAAAUAUAGAAUAUCAAUUUUAUUAGGAAACACUAUUAAAUCAAAUUAUACCAAUUAAAUAUAAAUAUAUAUACAAUUAACUAGAAUUUUAUUAGGAAACACUAUUAAAUACUAUUAAAUCAAAUUAUAAUUAUAUGUAUAAUUAAAUCAAAUUAAAUCAAAUAAAAUGUUUAUCAUGAAUCUUUCUAUGUGCUUACCACAUGUCAAACUCAAAUAUAGUAAUUAGGUGGUUAAAAAUAGAACUUUAUAAUGAAACACUAUUAAAUCAAAUUAAAUCAAUUAUCAAAUUAUACCAAUUAAAUAUAAUUAUAUAUACAAUUAACUAGAUUUUUAUUAGGAAACACUAUUAAACACUAUUAUUAUAAUUUUACUCAAAUAUAGAAUAACAAUUGUAUUAGGAAACACUAUUAAAUCAAAUUAAAUCAAUUUAUACCAAUCACAUGCUCAAAUUGAAUAGCAAUUUUAUUAAAUAUAGAAUAGCAAUUUUAUUAGGAGUUUCCAAUCACAUACUCAAAUUGAAGCAAUGUGCUCCUGUGAUGUUAUUGAGAAACAUAGACAAGUCUUAAGGUUUAUGCAAUGGAACCAGAUUAGUGAUCACUCAGUUGGGAAAACACAUACUAGAAGCAAAAGUGAUUUCUGGGAGCAAUAUUGGGGAGAAGGUGUUUAUACCCCGUAUGGUGAUUACUCCAUCAGACUCCAAGUUACCUUUUAAAAUGCAACGAAGGCAAUUUUCGUUGGCUGUUUGUUUUGCUAUGACAAUAAACAAGAGUCAAGGUCAAUCGUUAUCACAUGUUGGAUUGUAUCUACCUAGACUGACAUUCAGUCAUGAUCAGUUAUAUGUUGUAAUAUCUAAAGUUCGAAGUAAGAACGGAUUGAAAAUUCUAAUUUGUGAUAAAGAUGGUUUGUUAUCCAAAACCACAAGCAAUGUAGUUUUUAAAGAAGUGUUUCAGAACUUAAAAUAGGUAAGCGGAUUAUUUUUCUUUAUGUUAUUUCAAAAAUUUACAAUUUUUUAACAAUUCAACUCUGUCAUUUUUUUAAAAAAAUAAAUUUAGAUAUUUUUCUAAAAAAAUUCACUAAUAUUAUAAUAUUUAUCAUUUCACUUAUCUAACAAUUUAUCUAUAUUGUUAUUGGAGCAGGUACUUUCCAUCUUCAUGCAACAAAGUUUUUUUUUCCUUCAUAUUUUCUUGAAGACCAACAUCUAUAUAUAUUUGAAUCUUGGAAGUUGGUAUGUCUCUCAUAUACAUGCGCUUACUCUAUUUUAUGUCAAACAUGGAAGUUUAGUUGAUCUCAUUAUAUGCUUAAAUAUUAAUAUUAUUUGUAAUUUUUCAUAUCAACUUGAGUUAUAAUUUUGUUUCUCUAGUUAGCUUUUGUACUUUAAUAUGUAUUAUAAUUAAGAUUGAUAGUAUAUUUCUUUAUUUAUUAAAAAAAAUAUAAUAUUAAUUAGAAUAUUUUUCUUUUAUCAUCACAUAAAAACUUUUGUUAUUUUAUAUUAUUAUAUUAGCCGUGCAUCGCACGGGUCAAAUACUAGUACUACUAAUAGCACCAAACUAUCGGUGCUAUUAGGUUUUUGUCCCUUUGAUGAAAGAAUGUACGGUUAGAAUAAUGUGGACCCUCUGAGGUUGAGUAAGUUGUUGGUUGAAUAGUAUAAUCUAACGGGUGAAAAUAGUCAAAUGGUUAAAUCUAACAGUGGAAAACUCAGCAGCACUAAGUGCUUGGUACUAUCAAUAGUAUCCCAUCCGAACUCUCUCUCUGUCUCUCUCUCUCUAUAUUAUAUAUAUGAUUAAACAAACGAAAAAUGGGCUACUAUUACAUGAGUAGCUAAACCACAAAUAAAAUUGUUAAUAAUUUUGAUUUAAAUAAACAUUUCAACGAAAAGCAUAAUAAGAUUUGAAAAAUUCUAGUCCUAACUACAUUAAUUAGGACCGUCAACAGGUCGGAUUUGGGGCAGGAACCGAACUUGAACCUGACUAACAAAUCAGAAACCCGAACCCGAACCCAAACCCGACGGAUUUUAAAAAUCCAUAUCCAAAUCCGAACCCGACCAAAAAUCCGAAAUCCAAACCCAAACCCGAAAACCCGAACCCGAAUCCGAAAAAAAUCCGAAUCCGACCAAAAACCCGAAACCCGAUUCUAAACCUGAAAACCCGAACCCGAAAAUAAUAUUUACCAAAUUUCGAAACAUAUUAUACAAAAAACUAAAAACAAAAGAUUUAUAAAAAUUUUAAAAAAAAUAGUUUCAUUGCCCAACAACCCAUAAGAUCUAAGAGAGUAUUAAAAAUACUAAUUAAGAGAAAAAUAAAAUAAAAUUUUUUUAAAAUUUUUUUUAAAAAAGAUAGUUCUAUUGUCCAACAACCUACAAGAACUAAAAGGCUAAACUUAAAAAAAUAAGAAAAAAAAGAACAUAUAUGAAGAAUCAAAAAAAUCCACAUCAAAGAAGCAACUUCAAUUUUUAAAUUUUUUUUUAAAAAAUUCUCACCUUUUCUCUUCUUAGGUUUGAGAUUGUGGUUCUUGGAGAGAAAACAAUAAACCAAAAUACCCUCUUAGAGAAGAAUGAACAAGAGACUAUAUAAGUUUACAACCAAAUUAGGGUUUGGAGAUGAAGAGGGUUUGGAAAAUGGAAAGGCUUUGAAAUAGUUUAUCUUUUGAUGUUUUAACUAUUAGGGUUUGGAGAUGGAGAGAGUUUAGAAAAUAGAAAGGUUUUAAUUUUUGAAUAUUAGGAUUUGGUUUUGGGAAAUGGGAAGGUUUUGAUUUUUGAAUAUUAGGGUUUAGGUUAUAAAGAUAUAUAUUUUUUGGUUUAGAUUAUAAAAGUGUAAGUAUUUAUUGGCCUUUAGAUUCGGAUCUAAUGGUUUAAAUUUAUAUAUAUAUAUAUAUAUAUAUAUAUAUAUAUAUAUAUAUAUAUAUGUCAUAUUAAAUUUGUUCAGGUUCGGGUUGGGUUCGGAUUUUUUAAAAAUAUCCAUAUCCGAACCCGAAUCCGUCGAAUUUUUUUUUUAAUAUCCAUACCUGAAUCCAUAUACAUUUCUAUCGAAUAAAAUUCGCUCGGUUAAGAUAAAAUUCAAGUAUUCAUAUCCAUUUACAUCCCUAACAUUAAUAGUCUCUGGAGGGGCCUAAGGCCUCCGCUACCAUCCCAGACCUUUUGAAAAAUUUCCAUUUAUUUACACUUCAAAAAAUUUCAGAUCGCAUAAUAAGAUUUUGAAAAAAAUAAAAAUGCCUGAUGAGGUUGGUGAUUUUGCUUUAUUUUAGGCAAAUGCGAAUUACUUUUGAUUAAUGACGGUCCCUCUCUAUUUGGAUUCAAGUCCCUUUCAAUUAAGAUUGAACCAUUCAUCACUGCAAUCAAAAUAUGGGAUUUAAAUAGCCUGAUUGAAUUGCUUAGUACACUAAACUUUAGGGACAUUUUCAAUUUUAAAUCCAAUUUUACUAGCACACACGAAGUAUAGGAAACUUAAAAAUGUCUUAUCUCCCUCCAUGCUUUAAUUUACACUGUUUAUGAGCUUUGGCACUGAAAUAUAUUGUUGAAGUUUGAUAUGCUACCCCAAAAGCUAAAAAGUCAUUAUUCGUUGGAUAUGAAACAUGAGAAUCGAGAAAAAGAAAAGAAAAUAAAACAAAACGUAAAAGUAAUUGAGUGAGGCUACUAUGCUUUUGGAAAUACGGAAUCUUUCGUACUUUCAGGUCGUUUUUGAUAUUGCGACUUUCGAAUCGUCGAUCAGCUCCAUUAAACUUGAUUUAGAGUAUUUGAAGUACCUAGAAAAUAAAUUUUAUGAUUUUUUGAUAUUAUUUGCCUAGUGAUCGAAGGAGCUUAAAAUCAAUACUUUUAAUGGCCGUAGUGAGCCGUUUGCAAGUUUAACGGUGUAGAAAUAUCCAAAUCACGUGAAAUUUUGAUAGAAAAUUCUUUAUACUAUAUAAAAUAAUAUCAAUAUCUUUGAUCUAAAAUUUUAAUGUCAUAUUAUCACGUUUUGUAAAAUUUUUAUUUUUAGCCGUUGAUUUUGAGCCCCUUCGUUCACCAGGCAAAUAAUAUCGAAAAAUCGCAUAAUUUAUUUUCUAGAUACUUCAAAUACUCUAGAUCAAAUUUAACGGAGUCGAUCGAUGAUUCAAAAGUCGCAACAUGAAAAACGAUCUGGAAGCACGGAAGGCUCCGUGCUUUCAGAAGCAUAGUAACCUCACUCAAAGUAAUUUACAUUAUUUAGGAGCUAUCCUACAUCUUUGGCCGACGACGAAGCAAAAAUUUUGGCCUCAUUUGAUGUCAUUUUUAUUUUUUAUUUUUUAAAUAGAAUUAUAUCUAUCUAUACUACUUACAAAAGAGGAGUUUUAAAAUUUUUUUCUUUCCCAAGAUGUCAGUCCCUAUUAAUAUAAUUCCAAUCACAUAGUAGCAAUAUCCUUAAUUCAACUUUAAUAGAAUAAAUAACAGUCAUACAAUUUUUAUUUUAUUUUUAAAUUAUUAUAAAAUAUAUUAAUACUUAGUCAUUGGAUCUAAUGUCACGCUCCGGAUAUCACGUUCCCCGGGCACGCCGACAUAAUCCGCCGUAUACAAAGAAAUUUUUCCUAUAUACGAAGCGAAGCUGUAACUGUACCUGUAAUAAUACAACACUACAACCAGUAAUAUAGAGCUGCUAGGGAAAAAGAACAUGCGUAUAUAAUAAAAAUGGAUCAGUACAUACACAGUAUCUUGGUACAAAAAUACUCGCUCCAGCGAGGUAUAACAUCAGUAUGUAAUGAACCAAAAACUACAACUACCUGUGGCUGGUACUCCACUAGCUCUGCCUCGUCUAGUAGGGCUCUAACUCGCGACGCCCUUGUCACGAUCAAGAUUAGCAGCAGCCGACGACGAUGGCUCUGCAAAACGAAAAGGAACAACAGGGCGUGAGAACUACUGUAUAAACAAGUAGUCCUCAGUGGGUGCAGCUCUCAACAACGUCGGUCCACUCACUAAGUCUACAGAAGGGAGCAAGAAUAGUAGGAAAUGAUGGAAGAAAAUCUACAGCUACAAACCAUUAUACUAUCAUGCUCUACUCUAUCCAACUGUAGUAAAUGUCAAUUCUGACCAAAUCCAACUGGGACUGUAAGCCUACCCGUCCCUGGGACUGUGAACACACCCGUCCCGCCCGAUUGCGACUAUACAGCUAUCUCAACACUAAUCGGUCCGUGAAGAGCAAGCCUGCACGAACGACACCAACGCGAAAGCACAACGCCCGUCUCUGGAGUGGCACUCGUGGGAGCUAUCCAACCGAGUAUGCAGCGUAUCUCUGUCUAGCUCCAUCAGGCUCUCACAAGCCAAAAUCAAGUAACAGGGUCCAACCGGUCUAACAACCAACAAGUCACGUGCCCUCAGCACAAUCUGACGCCAAAACGGCGAUAGGGGUCCACCGUCAACCCCGACGGCCCCCCAACAGUCCGGAACAGUCUGAACACUACUGUAAAAAUACACUCGGCAUCUCAGCGCGAGCGUAACUGAAAUCUAAACCACCUGGGGUAUCCACCACACUGAUACUGCAGCGAUACAAAAUAACAACGGCUCCUAGAGCUAAAUCAGGUAGUUUAAGCAUAUGACAGGUCAUAAUCGUUGUUUUCUCCUAAGUCAAAUUCCAGUCCAAUAUGUGCUAGUAGAUACAUGCAACGAGGAAGCUCCAAUUCAGAUUUUACAUGGAAUAUACCAAAAUUCAUGAACUGAGCAAAAUCUAUCAACACAACAACACAUAUUGACCAACUAUAUAUUUAGAAGACAAACCGACGAUUAACCCACCUCGAUAGCUAAUCCCAAUCCGGCGCGACGUCGAGAACGGCGAAAUCGCACCCUCGCCCGGCUUCCUCGCGAUGCUACGACGAUGAAGACACACUCGAACGGCACCGCGGCGCGACGUUGGCGAAACUCGAACUCCACCCAAGCUCUUCCUUGCUCGGCCGAUGCUAGAGAGAGAGAGGAAAAGAAGCAAGUAGAAUACUCUCUCUCAGCCUCUCUACACAUGUAAAUAGUGAAGGGGUGGAGUGGUGACACGUACGAGGCACGAAAUUACCAAAAAGCCCUGUACCUACUCAGGUGUACCGGUACACGGGCAAAUGUACCGGUAUAAAUGGCAACCCGAGAGCAGCUGCGUAAAAUCUAUCGAAGUGUACCGGUACGCCCCUGAUGUUGUACCGAUACAGAAAGUGUACCGGUACGCCUUGAUGGUUGUAUCGGUACAACAAGCAGAAAAUCUGCUGUUUGCAGAUUCCAAUGCCAAGUCCUGCUCCCGCGUCCCCGCUGAGUCCGUUUUGCGUCUAUUUCGCGCCCACGUGACUCGGACUUGUCCCGACACUCUCCAGAGCUGUCGACAAGCCUCCCUGCUAAACACCAGGGAUACCAUAUCCUCCCCCACUACAAAAAGUUUCGUUCUCGAAACUUAAACAUACCUCAGCUCUGGGCAUCGAACAGAUAGGGGUAGGACUUCCUCAUCACCGUCUCAGGCUCCCAAGUCGCCUCCCGCUCCUCGUGAUUACUCCACUGCACUUUUACAUACAGGAUGACCCAAUUACGCAAUUCUUUCGUCUCCCGAGCAAAAAUCCGCAACGGUCGCUCCUCGUAUCUCAGAUCCUCGCCAAUCUCUAGUGGAGUGAAGUCGAUCACGUGAGAAGGAUCAAACACAUAUCUCCUCAAUGCCGAGAUGUGGAAGACAUCAUGAAUGCCAGCUAGUCGCGGGGGUAGAGCGAUCCUGUAGGCAACUGGUCCAACUCGCUUCAAUACCUCAAAAGGGCCAACGAAAUGUGGACUAAGCUUUCCACGUACUCCAAAUCGACGAAUCCCUCUGGACGGCGAGACUUUGAGGAAAAUAUGAUCUCCAACCUGGAACUCUAAGUCUCGUCUCCUGGUAUCGGCGUAGCUCCUCUGGCGGCUCUGGGCUGUCAAAAGGUGUCGUCAAACAACUCUCACCUUUUCUUCAGCCUCUAGCAAGAUCUCAGGCCCUAGUGUCCUCCUCUCACCCACAUCACUCCAAAACAGAGGGGAUCGACAUCUGCGUCCAUACAACGCCUCAAACAGAGCCAUAUGGAUGCUCGUUUGAUAGCUGUUGUUGUACGCAAACUCAGCCAGUCUCAAAUGUCGAUACCACUCUCCUCCAAAAUUCAGGACGCAUGCUCUCAGCAUGUCCUCUAGAGCCUGAAUGGUCCGCUCUGACUGACCAUCUAUCUGUGGGUGAAACGCCGUGUUGAAAUGCAGCGUGUACCCAAGGUUGUCUGAAGACUCCGCCAAAAGUGUGAAACAAACCUCGGGUCCCUGUCCGAUACAAUCGACAUCGGCACACCAUGCAGCCUGACGAUCUUAUCCAAGUAUAGCUGUGCGAGUCUCUCUCUGGACCAGGUGGUCUGAACCGGUAAGAAGUAAGCAGACUUCGUCAGUCUGUCCACUAUCACCCAAAUAGCAUCGAAACCACCCUGUGCUCUCGGCAACCCCACAACAAAAUCUAUCGUGAUCUGCUCUCAUUUCCACUUGGGCACUGGCAGACUCUGAAGCUUGCCAGUAGGUACCUGAUGCUCGGCCUUCACCUGUUGACAAGUCAGACACUUAGCCACAAAUCUGCCAAUAUCCCUCUUUAUUCCGUUCCACCAAAAUUGUGCCUUCAAGUCCUUAUACAUUUUGGUUCCACCAGGGUGAACCGUAUAAGGAGAACAAUGAGCUUCUCUCAAAAUAUCCGCUCGGAUCUCUGCAUCCAUAUGCACACACAGUCGGUCCCUGUACCGUAGUACUCCCGAACUAUCCACAGUAAAACCCUCAGCCUGUCCAUUAUCUAGCUGCUCUCGAAUUCUCGACAAGUGUGGAUCUCCACUCUGUUUCUCUCGAUCCUAUCCAACAGAGUGGGCUGCAAAACCAAAGACAUCAGUCUCGCAGUAGAUCCAGGGGACAUUAUCUUGAGCCUCAGCCGCUGCAGCUCCUCAAGUAACGGCCUCUGCUGUGUGAUCAUCAAACUCAAGCUCCGCACUGCCUUCCUGCUCAACGCAUCUGCCACCACAUUCACCUUGCCGGGAUGAUACUGAAUACUAACGUCAUAGUCCUUCAGUAACUCCAACCACCGGCGCUGCCUCAGGUUCAGCUCCCUCUGGGUUAACAGAUACUUGAGACUCUUAUGGUCGGUGAAAACCUCGCAGUGCUCGCCAUACAAGUAAUGCCGCCACAACUUCAACGCAAAGACUACCGCGGCAAGUUCCAAGUCAUGUAUAGGUUAAUUCUUCUCAUAAUCCUUUAACUGCCGUGAAGUAUAAGCAAUUACCCUACCAUGCUGUAUCAGCACACAGCCUAGCCCACUGUGCGAUGCAUCACUGUAAAUCACAAAUCCUUCCCCCAUCACAAGAAGGGCAAGGAUAGGAGCUGACAUCAAUCUCUGUCUCAACUCAUCAAAGCUCCUCUGACAGUCCUCACUCCAUACAAAACGAAUCCCCUUUCGAGUCAAUCGAGUGAGGGGUGUGAAAAGUUUCGCAAAGCCUUCCACAAACCGACGGUAAUACCCUGCCAGUCCCAGAAAACUCCUCACCUCAGCCACCGUCGUCGGUCUAGGCCAACCCCGAAUAGAAUCAAUCUUUUUCGGGUCCACUGCUACUCCCUCCGCAGAAAUCACAUGGCCUAAGAAAGCAACCUCCCGUAACCAGAACUCGCACUUCUUUAACUUGGCAUACAACUUCUUCUCUCGCAGAAGUUGUAGCACAAUCCUCAAGUGCUCCUCAUGCUCGGCAUUGCUCCGCGAGUAUAGCAAAAUAUCAUCGCUGAAGACUACUACAAAUCUAUCCAAGAACGGCUUGAACACCCUGUUCAUCAAAUCCAUGAAGGCGGCAGGGGCAUUCGUCAAUCCAAAAGGCAUCACAGUAAACUCAUAAUGCCCGUACCGAGUCCGAAAAGCCGUCUUGGGAACAUUCUCGGCCCUCACCCUCAGCUGGUGGUAACCGGACUGGAAAUCAAUUUUCGAGAAGACACAAGAUCCUUGCAGCUAAUCAAACAGAUCAUCGAUGCGCGGCAAAGGAUACUUGUUCUUGAUGGUCACCUUAUUCAGCUCCCGAUAAUCCACACAUAACCUGAGCGAACCAUCCUUCUUCUUUACAAAUAACACCGGCGCUUCCCAAGGCGAUAUACUGGGCCUUACAUAUCCCUUAUCCAUCAGAUCCUGAAGCUGCGCCUUUAGCUCUCUCAGCUCCGCUGGUGCUAUUCGAUAAGGUACCUUUGAGAUUGGUGCAGUUCCAGAAACUACAUCAAUCACAAACUCAAUCUCCCUCUCCGGUGGCAUCGUCGUCAACUCUGGGGGAAACACAUCCGGAAACUCUCGAACUAUAGGGAUAUCCUCGAGUCCCGGUGCCGCCGUAGGUACCUCUACAACUGUCGCUAGAAAAGCGAUACAACCACUACUCAGCAUCUGUCGAGCCCUCGCUGAAGAUAUCCAGGUGGCAAACAACGUACUCCUGCAGCCUCUAAAAAUAAACUCCUCCUGACCUGGCUCGCGGAACGUCACAGUCCUCGCUCCACAGUCGAUAGUAGCAUCGUACCACGCCAACCAAUCCAUAUCGAGCACCACGUCAAAGUCCUGCAGCUGCCUUAACACCAACAAGUCUGCGGGCAUGAUCCAAGAGUCUAACUGCACCAGACAUGACCAACAACACUCUGCAACAUGUAAAACAUGGUCGGGGAUCUGCACCUCUCGUGCAUGAGACAACACCCCUAAUUGUAGACUAUGCAACAAUGCAAAUGCUCGGCUAACAAAGGAAUGCGAUACACCGGUAUCAAAAAGUGUACGAGCUCUAAUGCCAGAAAUCAGAAUGAUACCUGCCACCACUCGGUCUACUACUGAAGAGUCCUCCACCUGGACUGCAUAGACCCUGCCGCUCAGAGCUUGCUGUCACCGCUCGCCCUGACGCGGCACAGACGAUCUGUCCUCCUGGCGGAAACUCGGUGCUGCUCCAAAAGACUGCGGAGGUCCUAGCUAUGCUGAUGCGAUGGAUGGUGCUGGUGAUGCUGCUCGAGGACAAGCUGAUCUCAUAUGCCCGGGCUGACCGCAACUGUAACACCUGUCCUCUCUCUGCUGGUACUGCCGGGGCCAGUGGGGUCCCCCGCAGAUCACACACUGCGGUGUCCUCGGUGUCUGUCCCUGCUGACGGGAUCCCCCAGAACGCUGACGUCCCGAAGACCCACGACCCUGAGAGCGCGAUCAUGGUGGUCUCGACGGACGCCUACCGCUCGACGGUCCUGCAUCAUCUGGAAAGGGGCGCUUCCGGUCCUGACUCUGCCCCACUGCCUGAGUCCUCUCCUGCAGCGACACCUCCCCUCUCUCUACCCAUAAGGCCUGCUCUAUGGAUGCAUCCAGGGUCCUCGACCUCUGCGCCCACACCAACCUGAAGAUAUCGGGUUUCAGCCCCUGCUCAAACAGAUAAACCCUGUGUGCCUCAUCCCUGGCUACAAACGGCACACAAUUCAGGAGUCGAGUAAACUCCCAAAUGUACUCCUACACUGGCCGAUCCCCCUGCUGAAUUCUUUUCAAAUCCUCAUCGAGCUUCUGUUUCACACUGUUGGAAAAAUACAUCCCAAACAGCAUUCCACAGAACUCAUCCCAUCUCAGCUGCAACGCUACCAGUCCCUGAUCUCGCCUCACUCUCCUCCUCUAGGCGUGUGUAUCACCUGCCAAGCAAUGGACUCCCAAAGAUACCUGCUCCCACUCAAGAAUGAACAGAUCCUCAAAUAGCUUCUCCAUCGCACUGACCCAUCCCUCAACGACCCAGGCCUCAGUGCCACUGCCAUCGAAGGUCGGCGGAUCAAAACGGCGAAAACGAGCCAGCCUCUCGGUCAUCCGCUCCUGCUCGGCCUCAAUCAUCUGUACCGGCCCUCUCGGAGGCACAACGGGUGCCACAGGAAUCUCCACUGGCGGGGGCACAACUGCGGCUGGUGCUGCGGCUGGAGUAGUCGGAGGUGGAACCAACGGCUCUAAUGCUCUCAGUACUGAGCCCUGUGGUGGAGCUACCCUCUCACACAACUUCUCCAACAACUCCCCCUGUCGCCUGGUCACCUCCGUCAAGGCAGUCAACUAUGCACUCAAAUCAGGAGGUGCACCCACCUCCAGUCGGGCCCUCUGCUCCACAACAGGGGGUGCACUCACCUCUGCUUGCUCUGGCAUCUUAGAAGGUACAGCACGAUCCUGAGUCAACGGUGCACGAUCUCGCGUAGACGGUCAACCUCGGCGACGAUACAUAGCUGCAAGAAACAAAACGGGGUCAGAUCAAACAAACACUCUCGACCCAAUCAAUGAAAGUCUAGAAGGCGGCCUCUGUUUCUCCUCAAAAUUAUGUCGUCUGCAGCCGACAUGAUUUUUCUGGACCGAAACAGAAACUCCUUCAAUCACUCACUCCACUCUAGGAGUAAUUAAAACAAUUAAUCAUUGACUUUCGCGAUAAAUCACGCCUCUCGCGUCUUGCCUUCCUAAGGUUUUCCAAGCUUAGGUUUCCUAGGUCCCAACGACCUAAUGCUAAGCUCUGAUACCAACUUAAUCUGUCACGCCUUGGAUAUCACGUUCCCCGGGCGCGCCGACAUAAUUCGCUUCGUAUACAGGAAAAAUUUCUUUGUAUACGGCGGAUUAUGUCGGCGUGCCCGGGGAACGUGAUAUCCGGGACGUGACAUCUAAUUCAAAGACUGACGAAUUAAAUAUCUGUCACUUUUUUUUCCUAAAUUGCCCUCAAAUAGUGAGUAUCAAAUUUCACUUUUUAUAUGCGUACCCUAUCUCCUAAUAACCGCUGCCCACAUAAUAUCGUAUUAUAUUACAAAUAAUAUUCCCAAUCUACGUGCUUUCUAAAUAUUUUUUUUCUCACAUGUAAUCAGCUACCUAAAUAAUAUCUAAUCACGUAAUUACCUUCCGCAUUUAUAAUAUUUAAUUUUUUUUUAAAGGUGAAUAUAUAAAAAAUAUCUCAAUUUUAUCUACUAAUAUUUAAAAUAUGAGAAAUGUUUCAAUAAAAUAUAACAUAUGAAUUUACAAUUUAAGAAUUUAAAUUUGCAAAUAAAUAUAAUUCACAAAUUUAUAUUGAUUUGAAAUAAUUAUUAAAAUAGUUGUUGAUAACCUUUUUUUAGUAGGAAAAAAUAUUGCAUUUUAUUUGCGAGAACAGAAAAAAAUUUAUACUUAUCCAAAUUUUUGUCAACCGAAAUAUAUCUCUUGUAGAAUAAUUUUCACAAGCGCCCCAUAAAAGAAUAUUUCAUACUCAUCAAAAAAUGAAAAUCUCUACGCAACACGCAUGAAAAUAUUUAAUAGCUACUAUUUCUCAAUUAACUAACUAAAAAAAAUUAGCAUUGAAAAAUAGAAUAAUUUAAAUAAGCUUAUCAAAUCAACUUUAAAUUUUAAAUUUGGUUCAUAAUUUCAAAUAUAAAUUAAUAGUAUAAUUAAAAAUUUGAAAUUAAUUAAAAUUUUAAUAUUUGGGUGUGUAAACGGUAUUUCAAAUCAAAAAUAAUUAAUUAAUUUGAAAAUAUAUCAAAUUUAAAAAUUAGAUGGGAUGAUCGGUAUUUCAAAUCAAAAAUAAUCAAUUAAUUUGAAAAUAUAUCAAAUUUAAAAAUUAGAUGGGAUGAUAAAUAAAUCAAUGCCUUUAAUAAUUAUUUAUAUUUAAAUUAUGAAUUCUGAGUUUUGUUCAUAAAUUUAAAUCUAAACUCUUUAAUUCAAAAUUUAGAAUUAAUUCAAAUUUUUAAAAUUUGGAUACACAUAAAAAAUUAAUUGAUAAAUAAAUUUAUAACACAAAUAAAUAUUUUAAUUUAAAAUAUAAAUUUGAUUUAAUUAAAUGCGACGUGUAUCGCACGUGUUCUAUAGCUAGUAUACCAAAAAGAUGAAGGAAUGGACAAUAGAAUACUUGCAAUAUUUUCAUUUCAAGUAAUUACUUGACAAUAGAAAAGUAAAGUUUUAAAACAACUUUUUUGCUGCUUUCAAAUUUCUUUAUAUAAUUUUUAUAUGGGUUUUAUUUGUAAUUAGCCUCCUGAAAAAAAUUAUUUUAAAAAUAUCUCCAACAAAUUUAAAUUUGUAAAAAUGGUCCUGGCCCUGCCACGUAGGCGCCCGUCAGCGCCAUGCGGGCUGAGCUGGGCCAGGUAGUUAAGUUAAACGCAGUGAACCAUUCACCGUGUUUAGACACGGUGAAGACACGUUGAAUGGUUCACCGUGUCUGGAGAAAGGGAAGGGAAAGAAAAAAUAUACGUAUUAUGAAAAAGAUAAGUAUGAAACAUAAUGAACUAUUCAUUGUAUUCCGUAUUCAACUUAACACCCCAACCCAUCCACAUGGCGUUUAUGUGGCGCCUGCGUGGCAAGGUCAGAACUAUUUUUAUAAAUUUAAAUUUGUUGAGAUUAUUUUUAAAAUAAAUUGUUUUCAGAGGGCUAAUAGCAAAAAAAAUUCUUUUUAUAUAGUUUGUUUUGGCCAUUUAACUCUUGCCCGAGUAUUCCAACUAACAUUAUUCUUUUAUAUUUUAAUUAUAACUAAAUCUUUUGAUAUUUAUUUGCUGUUUCAAUUAAGCAUCUUCCAUUAAAAAGUCCCUGCAAAUCAGACGUAAAGUAUUAUAGGCCAAGAUUUAGGGAGUGUUUGGCUUUCCGAAAAAAGUUCAAAAAAUAGUUUUUUGCCUAGAAAAUUGCUUUUCAUAUGUUUGAAGCAGUUUUUUUGAAAAACAUUUUUUUUAAAAAAUUUAUAGCAAACUGAUAUUUUUUACUUUUCAAAUUUAUAUUUGAAAAACAAAAACUAAAGUUUUUUUUAAGAAAUCAAUUACCAGGCAACCGGAAGGAAGACGAUUCUAGAGAAAAGUGACAACAAUGAAGUAAUUAACCAUUUUCUUUCACUAUUGUAAAGAAUUUUCCAAUCUAAGCUAUCAAACAAUUAUUGAGAAUGGACAACUCUUUAUUAUCUAAAAGACUUGUCUAUAGACUGAUUAAAAAGACACUAAAUUAGCUGUAAAUCGUAUUCGACAUCAAUAACAAUAGAAAAUCUGAGGUUCAAUAAAGAUUUUGGCGAAAAACAAAACCAAACAAAAAAUUAGAAAGAAAACAAAACAAAAAAAAAAUGGUUAAAAAAAGAUUAAUUUAAACUCAUGAGUAAUUUUAUUAAAUAUAAUAGUUUUAUUCAGAUUUUUACAAAUAAAGCCAGAAUAAUUAAGAAAUAAUGACUAAUAGAGUUAUCAAAUUUAAGAAGAUAAACUUAAAUAACUUUAACAAAUUUAAAUUAAAAAAACUGUAAAUUAAGAAGGUAUCAAUAAAAAAAAAAUUAUAAAUUGACAAGUCCAUCUCACAAUGACUCAUAGGUGAGAGAGUCUCCCUAAAUUUUACCUAAAAAAAUUCCAAUUCCAAGUGUACAAAGAUAAAUUUAUCAAACCAACAUUACCAAUCUGCAAUAAAAAAAAAAAAAGAACUGGCCGUAUUUGCGUAAUUUGUUAAGAAUUUGAUGGUUGACAUCUGAGAUCCGUUCGAAACAAUUUAUUUAUUAAAAAAUGAACAUUUAAAGUUUACAUCUUAUUAGAGUAACCUUAGUUUCUUCUUAAAAGAAAUGAACACUUGAGGGUACAUCUUGGAGUAACCCAUAACAACAGCAACAAGUAAACCAAUCCAAACCAACCCAUGUAAUGUAAAUAAAACAAAAUAAUAAACAAAGUUUUCCAUUUCCAAUAAUGAGUAUGAGUUGGCUAAACAGGUUAGUUAUUGUUGCAUGGACUCCUCCUAACCCCCCUACUCCCACCACUCCCAGAGCCCAUCUCCUCUCAUGUGGGGGGGAGGGAAUGCCCCUUCAUCUCCCUCAUUUAAUGCCAACAUUGUGGGUGCAGUUACCAAGGGCCCAGAUCCAAGAUAACCGUUUUCAUUACCACCCCCCUCUCCCCCCAUUAUUUCCCAUUUUCACGACACCAUAAUUAAUCAAUUGAUAAUAAAGUUUUAUAGGAUUUGCUUGUUUUGUUUUAUGAAUACGGUGACAAAGUUCACGAGAAUAGUAAUAGUUUAAUUCAGGAGUAAAAUGGUAAUAAUCAUAACUAGUGCAGAGAAAACUGAUAGGAAAGUGGUGCCGUGUGGAAUGUGUAAAAUGUUGUACAAGUUUCGAAACGGACAGAGAGCAUCACAUAUCACAUAAUAAUAAGUUAUAUACUAAGCCCCUGUUCUCUUAUGUCCGUCCUACUGCUCGUUAAGCUCUUUUAAUUUUUUCCCUAAGCACUCUUUCUCGGGAUCAUCUUUGCUGUCUCAAGAGUUUUUUUUUUUUUUUAUUAUAAUAAUUUUUUUUUUUUUUUGGGUUGAUAAUAAAAGAGAGCCAAGUUGUUAUGACCUGCACUUGUUGUUGUUGUUGUUGUUCCUCCUCUUUCUGCUUUCUCUCAUUAGCCACUGGUGGCGAGGGGUGAGUUGGAUUGGAGGGGCAUCAUCUGACAGUGUAACCGGUGCCUCUUUGUCUUCUUUGCCAGGGAGAGGACACCAUUUUCCCAUUUUCUCCUCUCUCUCUCUCUCUCUCUCUCUCUCUCUCUCUCCUUUUCUCUGCUUUUUUGUGUGUGUGUGUACUGGCCACAUUCUCCAAUCCGGUUUCUGGUUUUUGAGGAGGCCUCGUGAUCUCUUUGGGAUACUAAAAAAGAAGAAAAAAAGGAAAGAAAGAAAGGAAAAGAAAGAAAAAAAAAAGGAAACUGCCCAAGUAUUGAUUUUGGACUUGUUCUACCCACAGAUGCUGUUGGGUGCAGAGUUUUGGGAGGUGGGUUCUUGAGUUCUCGGCACAAUGAGGUAGGAGGGUCUCCAUCUCCUCCUCCUCCUCCUCCUCCUCCUCUUCUUCUUCUAACUUUUCUUUCUAAAAACUUGGGUGUUUUUUCAUUGAUGAAUCUGUGAAGACCCAGUUUGGUGGUUUCCUUCUUGAUCGGCUGUUGUUGUUGUUGUUGUUGUUGUGGGCUUCUUCUUCUUGAUUCCCUGACAUUGCAUCUGGGUUGAACCCAUUCAAGCUCUUCUGUGAGUGAGUGCAAAUAUUUGUGACACUAAAACCCUCCCGAUCCCCCUCUCAUCUGCAUCUGCAUCUGCAGUAGAAGGGAGCUGCGCGCAUCCUAUUCGACGAAAAGCCGGAGAGAGGAGGUUUGAUCAUUGCAAUCAGGAUGAGGGAUUUCCCUUCUUGCUUCGGCGAGAGCGGAGUUCAGGUCGCCGACGCCUCGUCGGGCGGCGCGGCGGCGAGCAAAGCACAUCAGAAUCUGGUGACUUGCCUCUACCGGACCCAAUUCUCCGGCCGAUCCUGCGUGAUCACCCUUGCCUGGAGCAAGAACCUGAUGGGGCAGGGCCUCAGCAUUGAAAUCGAGGAUUCGCCUUCCGGCCGCUGCUUGUGCAAGGUCGAGAUUAAGCCGUGGCUCUUCUCGAAAAGGAAAGGCUCCAAGGGCUUAGAGGCCGAGAAUGGCAAAGUUGAGAUCUUUUGGGACCUCUCGGCCGCCAAGUUCGGACCCGGGCCUGAGCCGUUGGAAAAUUUCUACGUAGCCGUGAUCUUCGAUCUCGAGAUGGUCCUCUUGCUCGGCGAUCUCACAAAGGAGGCGUACCGUAAAACCGGCGCGAGCCCUCCUCCUUCAAAUGCUUCUUUUAUCGCCAAGAGAGAGCAUGUAUACGGAAAGAAAGUGUACUAUGCGAAGGCGCAGUUCUGCAAUAAUGGCCAAUCCCAUGAUCUUGCGAUCGAGUGCGAUACAGCCGGACUGAAAGACCCGUGCCUCGAGAUUCGCGUCGACAAGAAGCGGGUGAUGCAGGUGAAGCGGCUGGCGUGGAAGUUCAGGGGGAACCAGACGAUCUUAGUCGAUGGUUUCCCCGUGGAGGUGUUCUGGGACGUGCACAAUUGGCUCUUCGGAUCUCCUUCCGGGAGUGCGGUGUUCAUGUUUCAGACGUGCCAGUCUGCCGAGAAGCUGCUGUCAUGGUCAUCUUCUCAAAUUUUCGGAGAUUCCCAACCACAAGGGGCUCUUGGUUUUUCUUUGAUAUUAUAUGCGUGGAAGAAUGAGUAGGUGUAUACGGGAGGAUUCUUGAUAUAUGCGAUUUCUCCUGUGAGUGCUAACAAGAUGUUUUAGUGAGUGAUUUGUUUUGAAAAUGUGCUUGAGGCUUCGCUCCUUUUUCCCCCCCCCCUUUUUUCUUUACCAUCUCUUCUAAAUUGAUCUGUUCCAAUAGAUUGGCAACAUUUUCUGAAUUUGAAUUGGUCUACUACUUUAGCUUGUAUCUAGUUGAAUAGGUUUUAAAGAUUGCAGUGCCCUCAGAAACAAGUAUAUAUGUUUUUAUGGAAACUGAAUGGAAGAUUAAUACAGAAAUUGUGUGAUGAAGCUGAGUCUGGAAAGACGAUGAUUUUUUUCUUUUCGUUCUUCGUUCUUUCUGACUGACUUGUCAUUGCACCUCACUGCUGUAACUAUCUGAGCUGUUGUAUUUAGAACUUGUGUCUUAUCUAAUUCACUCUCCACAUGGUGUUCUUAGUUGCUACAUCGUAGCCAAAUAUUGCCUCUUUUCUUGACAGUGUGAGGAAUGAUAAACUGAUUCCUGUAGCAUCAUGACUCUGCACAUUAAUGUGCUCUGGUGCUGAUACCCUGUUUAAGUAACCCCACUUUGCUGAGAAUGAAGGUUCGUCGUGAAUGGAUCUAUCAAGGUUUACCAAUUGUCCUUCCAUUCUUUGAACUUCUGUUCGCUCUCUUUUCCUCAAAGGUUUAUUAAAAAUGUCUCUCCUAUGUAGGAGCGUAGAUGAUUAUUAUGGAAAUUCUGGACUGUGAAACUGCUACUUGAGUGAAUUGGAUGUCGACCAACUGUUUCCCUGCAGGUUAGUGGAAUUUAUAAUCUUCCUUUCAUGUAGCAGUGCUGGUGAUAUUCAAUAAUUGUUUGUUAUAUGCUUUUCCAUAAACAACCUACUUGAUAUGUAUGGCUAGUCCUGCUUUCUAUUUGGCUAAUAGGCUGACACAUUCUUUUCGAUGGUAUUUUGAAUAUUCUCAAGGUUCUAGUUUUACUAAGAUAUGACAAUGAUAUAAGCAGAUAUCAGGACCAAAGGAACAAAUUAUAGUCUUUUUCUUUUUUUUCCCCUAACAUAACUCAUAUAUCUUAUUUCUCUGAAUUUCAGUUAUUCUGAAAGCCAUAAAAGUAUUUAUUGUAUUAUGAACUUCUUCAGAAUUAUUUGUCUUGAUUAGCUCUGGAUACAGUGAUACACUUUCUUCUAAGUUACUACCAAUGUCCCGUCAAUUUAGCAAUUACUGUUCUUGUUUAGCUUAUCCAAUUUAUAACUUGUUUAGUCCACACGAAAGUGUUUUGUUGAAAUUUUUAUUAGUGUUCGAUGUUUGCGUGGCAGUGAGGCAGUAACAUUCUUCAUAUCCUGUUCCCUUACACAAAACUAAAUUGUUUCCUCACGAAUUCAUGCUAGUUCUCUGAAUCGAGCAGUCUGUACCUUAAUGCAAAUUGUCUCAAGUUUCUUUUUUUCCAUAAUUUGGGAAGAAUGUCAUCCGCUGAUGGUAAUAUGGUAUACUCUUUGUUUCAAUAAUUCAGCCACUGUUAUCUUUAGAACAAAGGGAAUGAUCAGGGGCUGCACAGUCAUAACAGUAAGUCCCAUGAUCAUGCUGGCAAUGGCAUUAAGUUAAUGCUAUUAGCAAAAGCAUAAGUGACAUUGCAAAGAACUCGUUAACUAAAUAUGAAUAUGAUGAUAUUUAAUAGGAAACGAUAGUCAGCAGGAAGGAAAAAUAGGUGUCAAGCGCACAUAAUGAAUAGGAAUACAUCUUCGAUUCUCAUACUAGAUACUGUGUGAAAGACUGCUAGUAAAACUCAUUCUAAGGGUGUUGGCAUGAGGUUACUCUGUGUGUUGGCGCAAUGCAUGCUGUAAAAUGGCAAUUCAAUAUUCACUGUUGCUUAUAAAUUACUGAUUUUGGGAUUUCUUUAUCCUUUUUUUAAAAAUAUUUAAAUCCUUUGGUCCAAAAAGAAACUAAGUGAACAAAUUUCCAAGAAAUUAAAUGUUUGUUCAUCUUUGUAAUCUCAAUAACUUUAACAUAUGUUGUUGUUACGUGCUCUUUACAUUACAUGUUGCAGUGGACACGACCAGCUAGGUUUAUAAAGUAUGCUUGUGUUGUCUUAUCUCUUUCCACCAAGUUUUGACAGAUAAAGGUGCUUAUUGACAGCUUCUAUGUGGCACCUUAGACCUCAAAUGUAGAACUGGUAAAUAAUGAUAGAUUAGCCAUCUAGGUAAGCAGUGGAAACCAAGAAGUGAAAAUGGCGAUUUCUACAGAAAUUUUAAGAUAACAUGCUUGAAGAAAAUUGUCAUGGUACUAUGAAUCUUAAGGAAUCGAAAGAUAAGACCUCAAAGUGGGUUGAACAAAAGAAAAUUAAUUUGGCUAGUUAGUCUAGGUAUUGGGUGGAAAAGUAACCCUUUGGAAUUGAAGCUUUGACUGAAAAGAAAGCAAAUUUACUGUUCCGUAAGUGGUACAUUGGCUGUAGAGAAUGAUCAAGUGAUUGAUUGGAGGAAUCAUGUAGUGCAACAAUGUGAACUUUUCAAGCACAUAUAAAUGACUUUUAUCCUGAAAUGCUUCUGGCUUUAUAUUUUCAGAAAGAAUAUGCAUCAUUUUCUUCUUCUCUUUUCCCAUAAAACUUGCUAGUUUCUAAAUUAUUUUAUCUUUCGGCAUGCGUAUUAGUUUUUAUGUUUUGUCAAUGUAUCAUUAUUCAUUUAUGGGAAAACUUCAAAAACCCCCCCGUGGUUUCGUAGUUUCUCACUUUGCCCCCCUGUGGUUUAAAAAGUAUCAGUUUGCUCCCCUGUGAUUUCUUUUUUCUCUUUUUCUUAUCAAUUUCAUUAUUUUUUUUUCUUAAAUCAGUGAUAAAGUUAAAAUUAAAGGGUACUAAAGUGAAUAUUUGAUAAAUCUAGAUGGGUAUUUGAAGUUUUUUGUAUAUAAUUUAAUGAAAUAUUAACGAAAAAGCUAUCGAAAAGAUAAAAACGAAACCACAGGGGGGCAAUUUGAUACAUUUUAAACCACAAGGGGGCAAAGUGAGAAACUACGAAACCACAGGGGGGGUUUUUGAAGUUUUCCCUUCAUUUAUUUGUGACAGAUACUACUAAAGCAUGCUUCUGUGUUAUCUUCGUUGUCCAGUUUGGAAACUACAAAGGAUUAGCUCUUUCAGCAGUAGCGUAAGCUCCUUAAUUUACAUCGACUGAUCGGCAACGCAUGUGUUAGUUUUUUCAUUUGUUGUGACAACAACUCCUUUGAGGUCAACAAGAUCUAAUUAUCUUUAAUUAUUGUUAAAGGUUGGUUAUUGUACUACGUUAUUAAUUGUAGAGUAGAGAUGUCUUAGUAAUGUUGUUUAGUAUAUGCUUCCUUUUGUGUUCUUUGUUUCCAAGCUUACUACUUUGACGGAAAUAUAUUUUUAUUUUGAUCAUCAAUUAUGUCUAUGUUUCUCAUGAAUAUUCAAAUGUGCUACUUUACUUUACAUUAAAUUUAAUACCAUUCCUGUGCAUGAUAUGUACCACUCAAGCUAACAAUCAGUUGAUAGUAAUAUUCCUAUGAAAAGUAUAAUGCAUCAAGGCAAUGCACAAAUUCAUAAUGCUAGUUGCUAUUAAAAUGUUCAGUUAAUUCCUGAAAUUUGACAAAUUAUAAUUUGGACUCUGUCUUUCGUUUAAACAGAUUAGUAGCUCGACUUACCUAAUUUCUCAUGUUCUUGCCAUACUAGCAUUUUACAUCCAAAAUCUUUAUCCUCCAAUAAGGGUUCUGCGAAUGAACUUUUAAAACCUACACAGAUCCGGACUACAAUGGUAUUUGAGUUAGCAAUACAAUUAGUCUUAAAUUGAAAAUUGUGAUUCGUUGGUAACUAUUUUACCUGUACACUUAGCCUUAAAAUUUGCCUUCGUAAAUUUUCUUGAUGUUGUUUCAUCAAUUUUCUUGAUGUCCUUUCAUCAUCGUGAUAAACUUUUACAUUUUUUUUAAUAUUUCCUCUCUUCUUUUUUUUUUCCCUUCCUAUCCAAGCAACUUGUUUUUCUCUCUUUAUUUCAGGAGCUGCUUUACUAUGUGGUGUAGCACUAAAAAAAGCGAAGAUCCUGCAUUCCAUACUCUGGACUGGGUUGCUAUAUUCUGUGCUCCGAUAUCUACAUGCUUGGAAUUAUCAGGAAAGUGGGGAAAAAAAAAAACAUUUUCCAGUAAAGUGAAGUAGGUGAGAGAGAAUCAACUGCCAUAUUAUCAGUUUGUUCGUAGGACUUUCAGAUACAGUUCCUGUGUAUUCAUGUAGCUCAAGUUUUCAACCCUAUUGUUCGAAUUGUAACAUUAAACCAUCCUGUUGCGGUUUUAGGACUUGAUUGUCAUUAUAAUUGAGCAUUGUGACAAUUUUAUGACUACUUUAGAAAGAUGUAAAUAAGAUUUAACAGCUUAAUUUUACUGAGUUUUGUUGAUUCUUAUAAUUUAUCUUGACAAACCACAAGAUUUCAUGUGCUCUCUAGUUAGCUGUAUUCUAGCGGCAAGUCCCAAAUGAGAAAUUGGAUUGACCACUGCUGAGUGAUAAAAUGUCACACUUUGAACUAGAGAGUUGUUAAGCGGAAUCAAAUUAUAUUUAAUUUCUCCUUCUCCUUUCACUCUCUCAGGGUCGAAGGAUCUGCAAAUGUAAAAUUCAAGCAGAAGAUAUGGGAGUUGGUGUGCAGAGAACAGCAUAUUUUUAGUAACAAAAUAGGCAGGUGCAUAUCAAAUGUGAAUAUGCUCAAUUAUUCCCUUCCUUACUAGAUUUGUUCUACUGAUUGUUUAUUUGUUAUGUUGAUGGUAUAACAACUACCAUGCUAAAAUAAAUUGCCAUGUUUUUAAUUGCAUUCCACGUGGAUCAACUCUCAACACACCAUGUGGACAUCUCACCUGUGGCACUUAUUUUUUUUGAUAGGAAGAUGUCCUUGAGAAGAUAUCUGUGUCUCAUAAUGAAAGAUGUUUGCUUGCAGGUAGACCCUUGGUUUGUUCUAUUGCCAAGUCAAGGAGAGAUAGGCCAUCCUCACAAGGUAGGUGCUUUCAUUGGAGCCAUAAUAAUAUGGUCUUAUGGGUUAAGAGCUCACUUAAUGUAGAGAUGCAAGGACAAAUUAAGGGCUUGUUUGGUUCACCUAUUUUAGACUACGAAAUCGGAAUGAAAUUCGUUGAUUUCGACACUUGUUAUUUGUUUUGCAGGAAUCGGAUUCCGAUUCCCGUUCCACUCUGGAAUGGGCAUGAUCGAAUUUAUUUAUGCCCCAAUCCGGAUUUGAAUUCCGGAUUGGUCCAUUCCAAAGUAAACCACUCAAAACUCUUUCUUACAAACACUCUCCCUUCCUCUUCCUUCAUCAAUCUUCUCUUUCUUAACCAAAACUCUCUUCCAAAAUUUCAGAUGUCAUUCUGAUUUCCAAUCCAAUAAUUAAUGAAGUAAUUUUAAAUUAUUUGUCAUUCCAUUUCUCAUUCCAAUGCAAUCCAAUUUCAUUUUCUAUUCCAGUGUUUAUUUGUUGAAUUCCUCAUUAGUAGAAAUUCUUGGUUAUAGGUGUGUUAUGACUGUUUUGCUGAAAAAAGACAUGGUUAGGAUUGUGUAAACCAUCUCCAUGUAUGAGAAUGUGUUUAUUUAUCGAAUUCCUUAAUUGUAGAAAUUCUUGAAUUUUAUAGAAAAUAAUUUACGAUAACAACAAGGCUAUCAUGGUUAGAGUUGCGAAAACUAUCUCUCUGCAUGCGAAAGUAGUAUUUUCUUUAAUUUUCUUUUUUAGUUAGUAUAUAUAUUUCGAGCGCAUUAAAAUUAACCAGAUUGCCUAGAGUGAAGAAGGUUGUGCAUAAUUGGAUGUCUUUUUCUUGAAGAAAAUCUUGCUUUAUUGCUUAUGAUGAUAUAUAGAGCAAGAAGCAAGAAAUAGCUUUUGGAGGGGAGAGAGAGAGAGAGAGAGAGAGGGAAAGUGACGUGGUACCAAAAUAUAAUACCUAAUUCAUGAUUGGACUGCAGAGGAAUUAAUGGGAAUGUGGCAGAGGAAUGGUGAAAUAGACUUCACCCAAGGCCUACAGCAAGCCAUUUUGUUUACUACAACCUUUCAACCCCCUCUCCUAUUUCUUUGCCCUCAUUCUCCAUCCACAAAUGAGGCAACAAACAACAAUAAGAAGCAGCCACCCCUACUCACCUAUGGGUUGGCUUCACUCCCUCUUCUCCCCACUUAGGAGGUUGUGGCUUCGUAUGCACUCCGCGCGCAACAAGAGUAUGUUAUGCUUUCGCACUUACAUGUAUAUUAGCUUUUAUAUUUUUUCGGUCUCGCUCUAUCCAACUGAGCUAUAUUUUAUUUCUCUUCUUAUUGAUGUAUUACUAUUAUUAUUGUCAUUGUUGGAAACAAGUUGGUGACACUGAUAAUGUCAUUGAUUGUAUUGAUAGAUAGGGGGAUAUAUAUUCUCUACGAUGACGUGAAGUCGUGCCAGUGCGAGGAUGUGCAGAUUCUUUGGUCGAUCCUCGUGGAGUCGCAUCCACACCCGACUCCGCUCCGAUUGAAGCAAUGAGGUUUUGCUUGCCCAUGAGAAGGAAGAGAGGAAGAGCAUCAGAUGAGCGAGGUUUGAUGUAAAUAUUAUAUAUUUAAGUAUCAACUGAGGAGAUAACCUAUUUCAUAUAUCUCAUGAGAGAGAGAGAGGACUCUUGUGUUUAGUGAAUGAGGGUGAUAUUUUGUACAUACAUACAUUAUGGCACGAACAUACACACAUAUACAUACAUAAGUGCAUGCAUAAAUACAUUGAAUAUAUGAGGAACUAAUACAAGAAUAAAUUUAUUAAGGAUGGUGGAGAGCAUUUUUCUGUUUCUUUUUCAAAUGGUUGGUUUGUCCAUUCUGGAGUAGCUGUGGGAUAACAUAGAUUCAAUUUCAUGUUUUAAUUAAGUUUCCAUUUGCAAUUGCAGAGAUAUUGCAUUGUAUGUGAAGAGAAAUUACGACGAAAAAUUAGUAUGUUUGUUUUUACACGAAAUAUCACGUUCUAUAGCCGAUAAUGAACAGUUAUAAUAUAUUUUCCAUGAUAUGUUUUUUAUGGUCCCUUGAAAAAAAAAAAAAAAAAAAUUUCUAUAUGCUUUCAUCUUAAAACUUUAAUAUCAAAUGGGCCCUAAUACUGUACAAUUUAAGUUGCUGCUUAUAAGAAAAUGCAAAUUUAUAGUCUAAAAUACUGUUGAGUAUGAUGUGACUGCACACGCGUGCAUAGAAUGUAAUUAAGAUACUUUCGUGGGUACAGAAGAUGUACGGAGACCCUCAACUCUCUAGUAGACUUUGAAAUGACCCUUCUAGUGUGAACUUUUUUAUUAAGACCUCCUAAGAGCUUAAUUAUUUUAGAAUUAACUAAUUUUAGUUAAAAAAGAUAGAAUUUUUAUCAGAUACACUGAUGAUUUCAUAAUUUUUAAUUACUUUUUAGCAGAUAAGGCUAUAAUAAAUAAUGAUUAAUGGGAAUAGAAAUGCAAUUUAACAAAAUUUUUAACCUAAUAACUUGAAAUAAUUCCAAACGACUCAUUUCACACUCCAGAGAUGUGUAGAUCUUUACCAAUAAAAUUCUAACCAGUCUUUGUUAGUGAUAGCUAGAAAAAAUGGCUAAAGAUUCUAAUUAAAGUUUUAUAACCUUAUUUUAAAUUUCUUUUAUUUGAUGAAAUAGCUGUUCAGAGUAUAUUUAAAGGCCAAUUUGCAUAAAAAAAUCCACUAGUUUUGAGCAUUUGCAAAAGUGUGCCACUAUUUUUUAUUUUGUAGAUUCGGACCGAAUUUUAGAAACUUGACUAAAAUAUUCUUAUUCUUUUUUCUCUCUCUCUUUUUUUUGUCUCUCGUUCUUUUUCUUCUUUCUCUCCGAAGAAGGUGGCGGACGCAGAGACGGCCCGUCUCACUUCUGUCCCGCUUGCCCUCGCCCUCGCCCUCGCCCGCGCACCUUCCCUCCACCCUCCUCGCCUCCGACCCUACCGAGCACCACAACCCUCUUUCUUUUUUUUUUUUUUCCCUCUCUGACAUUUCUUCACCGUCUCCCGGCUUCUUUACAAUAGUAAAGAGGAUAAUAUCACAUCCUCUCCCUCUUCUUUUUUUCUUUUGUUCUUUUUUUUCCUUUUUUCUCUUCGAUUCGACCCACCUCUACCGCCUCUGCGACCCUCCACGACAGUAACGAGAACAGUGCCACAUCCUCUUCCUCCGCCUUCGCCAGCAUUAGCACCGGCACCGAUGCUGGCACUAGUGCUGGAAAAGGAGAACUCAAAGCGAGUGCGAGUGAGAGCAGAGCGAAGGAAAAAAAUACAAAAAUAAAAAAAUAAAAAGAAUAAAGAAUAAAACAUAAAGAAAAAAACUUUUUUUACAAUAAAAUAAAGAAUCAGAGAGAAAAAAAGAGGAUGAUGAAGUUGUAAUAUUUUAAGGAAACGUUGCACUAUUUCAAAAAAACGUUGUACUGUUUUAGAGAAAUGCACUCGUUAAGAGAAAAAUUAUACUUUUUUGAAUGAAAGUUGCACUCUUUGAACGAAAAUUGCAUUCUUUAGGCAAAAAUUAUACUAUUUCUCCUCUUUGUCCUUUUUCUUCUCUUUUCUCUUCGUUUUCAUGUGUUUCUUCUCUGCCCAUCUCUUUUUCACCUUCUACCUUUGUUGACAGAUCCUCCGCCUAUCUCUCUCCGACCCUUUUUUUUUUUUUCCUCCCCGGCGGUGGAGAAGGGUCGAAAAUUAAAAAAAAAGGGUCACGACGCGGCUUCGGCGGGUUUGGAGGCGAGGAGGGCAGAGCAUGUGUGAGCACGGGCAAGAGCACAGGGGCAGAAGGUGGAGAAUUUGCCGACGGAGAGGGAAAGAAAAGAAGGUCGGAGAGAUAUGGGCGGAGGAUCUGCCGACGGAGGUGGAAGGCGAAGAAGAGAUGGGUGGAGAAGAAACACACGAAAAUAAAGAAGAAGGAGAAGAAAGAGGAGGAAGAGAAGAAACAGUAUAAUUUUUGCUCAAAAAGUGCAACUUUCGUUCAAAUAGUGUAACUUUCGUCCAAAAAAGUGUAAUUUUUCUCUUAAAGAGUGCAAGUUUUUUCUACAAUAGUGAAACGUUUUUAUGAAAUGGUGUAAUGUUUCCUUAAAACAUUGCAACUUCAUCGUGCACGGGGGCCACGACCUCGUCGCGCGUAGGUGCCGGCAGAGAAAGGGGGUGGCAGUGCGAGGGGCGCUUGACGACGAUGGUGACGAAGAUGGUAGAGGAGGAAGAAAGAGGAGGAGGAUGAGAAAACGGAGGGGGAGGAGGAGGAAGAAGAAGAGAAUGAGAAAUGGUGUAAAUUUCACCCAAAUAGUGCAACUUUGACUUAAAGAGUGUAACUCUCAUUCCAAAUAGUGUAAUUUCUCUCUCAAAGUGUGCAACUUUUAUCUAAAAUAGUGCAAAAUUUUUUUAAAACAGUGUAACUUUAUUUUAACAGUGCAAUUUCAUCUUCUUCCUUCUUCUACGAUUUUUUAUCUUUCUUGUAGAAAAAAAAAAUUUUUAUUUUUAUUUUUUAUUAUUCUUAUUUUCUUUCUCUCUAUAAUUUUUUUUGUCACGACCUCUCUCUUGCCCUCUAUCGCAGCUACAGCCCUUGCCGGAGUGCAAUUAUUUUUCUCCCUUAUCCUCGCCGACAUGCUUCUCGGCCCGAAGAAGCACUUCCUCUUCGUCGCUAGCGGCGGCGGUGGGGACGGCGGGUGAAGGAGGGUUGAAGAGGAGAAAAAAAAAAGGGUCGCGGCGCGGCCUCAGCGGGGUCGGAGGCGAGGAAGGCGGGGUGUGCGUGGGCGAGGCCGACGGCGUGAAAGGCAGAGGCGGGGGGGCCGUUUUCGCCUCUUCUCCGCCGACUUCUUCUGUCACGCCCCGAGCCCGAUCCUUUUUGGCCGGUUCGAGAGCGUCAAACAGACGCCGAACGGACAAAGCUUCCCCUGUCCGCCCAAGGCUCAACACUAGUAUCAAUAGAGUACAAAUUUGCAUAAGCGGAAGCAUACACAAUGGCUUGCACGAGAGCAAGCAAUAGCCAAGGUGAAAGAAUUAGCAAUUCAAUAUACAAGUAAUAUGACUAAUUUAAAUCACAUACAUGCAUCAUUUUUUUUUUUUUUUUACACCUCAUUUCUCCCAAAAUAUAACUUUUGACAUUUAAAGUAAAUAUUCUUUACAUCAUUCAUUAAAGCAAGUUCAUAAUACUAAAAUCAUCAAAUACAAAAGAUGAUAGUAAAGGGUGUGCAACUACAAAAUGAAAUCCAUCUCGGGCGAUCUCUACCUAGGGCGCGAUGCCCUACUUGCCAACAAGUAAAAGCGGAGCGACGGUUUCCGGCGGGAAAGUUGCAAAGUUUACCUAUACCCGUUUGGAAAUGGAAAAAUAUUGCAAUGGACUUCGUGACCGGGUUGCCUCGAUCUCAAGGUGGGCACGAUGCAAUUUGGGUGAUUGUAGACCGGUUGACGAAGUCGGCGUAUUUCCUACCGAUUCAUAUUACUUGGUCCGGGGACAAGUUGGCUCAAGUGUAUAUUGAUGAGAUUGUGAGACUUCAUAGGGUGCCCAUGUCUAUCGUGUCGGAUCGGGACCCGAGGUUCACCUCUCACUUUUGGAGGAGCCUACAGGAGGCCUUGGGAACGCGACUCGACUUUAGCACGGCAUUUCAUCCUCAAAGUGACGGUCAAUCGGAGAGGACAAUACAAAUACUUGAGGAUAUGCUUCGAGCGUGUGUACUGGAUUAUAAGGGCAAUUGGCAUGAUCAUCUUCCGAUGGCGGAGUUCGUGUACAAUAACAGCUAUCAAGAAAGUAUCGCGAUGGCGCCAUUCGAGGCCCUUUAUGGAAAGAAGUGUCGCUCUCCAAUUCAUUGGAGCGAUGUGGGCGAAAGGGCGGCUCUUGGCCCCGAUGUAGUGCGGGAGGCAGAGGAGAAAGUCCGUCUUGCUCGCCAACGACUUGCUACGGCAUAAUCUCGGCAAAAGAGCUAUGCCGACAAACGGAGGAAAGAUAUCGAAUUUGCCGUUGGAGACCACGUGCUUUUAAAGAUUUCGCCGAUGUGAGGGAUUAAGCGGUUUGGAAUUCGUGGGAAGCUAAGUCCCCGAUACCUUGGACCGUUUGAGGUGUUGGAGCGGGUCGGCGCGGUGGCAUACAAGAUAGCAUUACCACCGAGGCUUGUGGGAGUACACGACGUGUUUCAUGUAUCGAAUCUCCGCAAGUAUGUGCACGACCCCGAGCAUGUUCUCUCGUUUGAACCGUCCGAGAUUCAAGAGGACAUGACCUAUGAGGAGUUCCCGGCAUACAUAAUCGACCGAGAAGUAAGAAAACUACGAAAUCGCGAGAUUCCGUAUGUUAAAAUUCGUUGGUGUAAUCACAACGACCGAGAAGCUACUUGGGAGCUCGAGAGCGCAAUGAGGGAACAUAAUAUCUGUCACGCCCCGAGCCCGAUCCUUUUUGUCCGGUUCGAGAGCGUCAAACAAACGCCGAACGGACAGAGCUUCCCCUGUCCGCCCAAGGCUCAACACUAGUAUCAAUAGAGUACAAAUUUGUAUAAGUGGAAGCAUACACAAUGGCUUGCACGAGGGCAAGCAAUAGCCAAGGUGAAAGAAUUAGCAAUUCAAUAUACAAGUAAUAUGACUAAUUUAAAUCACAUACAUGCAUCAUUUCUUUUCUUUUUUUUUUUACAUCUCAUUUCUUUCAAAAUAUAACUUUUGACAUUUAAAGUAAAUAUUCUUUACAUCAUUCAUUAAAGCAAGUUCAUAAUACUAAAAUCAUCAAAUACAAAAGAUGAUAGUAAAGGGUGUGCAACUACAAAAUGAAAUCCAUCUCGGGCGGUCUCUACCUAGGGCGCGAUGCCCUUAUCGCGAUCAUCUGCCGGCUCGCUCGGUCCCGGCUCUGUGGAAAUAGUGGGGUGAGAACUACAACAAAGUUCCCAGUGGGUUCGGCAACCAACCACGCCGACUAUCCCACUAGGUCUAAUCAGGCAUAAUAGAAGAAAGAAUAGAUAAUAACCAACUAACAAAUGCAGCUAAUAUGCCUGAACAAUAAAUAAAACUAUGCUCGAUAGAAUGCUCAUGAUGAAUGCAAGAUUAACUUUUCAUUACCCAAUCUCAUGGCUAGCCCGUAGGUUUCGCCCUCACAAACUAACCAACCCAAAUUCCUAUUAUCGGGGAGAUAACCGCUAUGACCCGACGGGACCGCCCUCUGGGGAGAUAACCGCUACGACCCAGUGAUGACAACUCCGGAGCACAUCGCCCGAGGGGGAGCUACCGCCCUCGAGCAAGGACUAUUAGGUGAGUACGAUCAAUCCUUAACUUUAAGGAUUUUAAGUUCAAUCCAUUCCUUGACUUCAAGGAGAACCAUGUACAUAUGACCCUUAAUUCUAAGGUGUUUAUGUCAUAAUGUCACUACUUGUUCUUGUUCUUUGUCAAUGAUGCCACACUUGUUUUCUAAGUCCUCUAGACUCAUCAAUGUCACUUGCUAAAUCUAUGUCAACAUGUCACAUUUGUUUACUAACCCUUCUAGGUUCUUGUCCCUUGUCAUGCAUAUAUAGGGUUACCAAUUCUCAUUCAUUUACUACUAUUUCUCAAGCAUUAGAACUCAUAUCAUGCAAAGAAAAUUUACAAUUAACCCUACUAUGCAACAUGCUCAAUAUAAAUACAUAUGCUCAAAUAUGACGCUUUAGACAUAAAGGGAUUUCCGAUGUCCUUGGAAUGCACCACCCACCUUAGAUGGUCACAAGGAUGCUACGGUGAAUUUCUUGGAAUUUUUGAAGCCCUAGUCCGCGUGCUGCGGCUAUCUGUACGGAAAAUGACGUUUUUGUUAAUAACUUUGCGUACACUCGUCGGAUUGUCGAACCGAGCGUUCCAACGCGUUUAAAAUACCCUCAAUUAGGUUUCUACAUGAUCAAAAUAGAUCAAAACCCAACUUGGGCAAAACCCCUCUUUGGGAUGCCCUAACAUGUUAUUUUUGCAUUUCUCCGAGAUUGAUCUCAUUCCUAAGCAAAAGAUAGCUUAGAUUCACAUGGGAAGCUCUCUAAUAAGGUUUCUAAGCUUUUAGAACCAUCCCUAGGGCAUCUACUUUGAGCCCUAGUGAUCCACCAUGAGAGGGGUCUAAGAAAUCCAUGUUUUUCAUGGAGUCAUGGUCCUUAGAGGAUUUCCUCACUUGUAGAGAGAUCAAAACCCAAAAAUCUAAGGUCUAAACCCAAACCCUAAACUCAUUUUUGCAUAAGGACUCACCUUUGCCCAAGCUCCACCAAAGCCUACUUGUUGGAGAGCUUCUAGGACCACCAAAGCCACCAAAAUCCACUUCUCCAAGCUCUUCUCCACCUUCUCCAAGCUCUAGGGCUUGCUUUCUAGAGAGAGAAAGAGAGGAAAAUGAGAGAGAGGGUGAAAUGGGUGUUGGCUGUGAGGGGAAGGGGUAUUGGGCUAUUAACAUGUUGUAACAUUUGCCAAAAAACCCUCCCAAUCUUUAUAUUUUGCAGCAGACCUCGUUUUGCUGUCGGGCCCAAAGUGUACCGGUACACUUUUUCGUGUCACCGGUUACACGACUACGCAUAGGCAAACCCGAGAGCAGAUCUGUCAGUUUCGCCCAAAGUGUACCGGUACACUUUUUCGUGUCACCGGUUUCAGCAUGUGUAACCGGUGACAGGUCGCUUGCUGUACCGGUACACAUUGCUCCAGACCUGAUUUUUGGCUCCGUCUCGAUUCUAUUUUGCGCUGAUCGAUGCCAAAACCCUUCUAACACUUCUAGAACUCAUUUUUAACCCUCCCAACAGUGUUGGUAGGUUAAUUGGAACUCGCCCAAUAAAUCCAUUCGCGCACUUUAGUCAGUUUGCCUAAAGUUCGCCAUUUUCUAUCUAGGUUUCAAUACGUUACAUCUUCGGUGAGAUAAAAAAAAAGAAUGUGAGAAAAAAUAAAAGGAGAGAGAAAAAGUUAUAAGAGUAUUUUGGUCAGUUUGUUGAAAAUUCGAACAGAAUCUGCAAAAUCGAAAAAGGCGGCCUAGUUUUGCAAAAGCUCAAAACUAGUGGAUUUUUUAUGCAAAUUGGUCAUAUUUAAAUUUGGCUAUGUGUACUAGCUUUAAUUUUCUAAUUUAUGUACUUUAUCAGAAUCUAUUACUAUAUACUAAAGAACGUGAAGCAUGCUUUAAAUGCUAACACAUAUACUAUAAAUGGAUGAAAAUGCCCUUAGUGAACUCGAAAAAUUAUGUAAUAUAUUUUAACAAAUUCUGAUCUCUCUCCGCUCUCUCUCUCUCUCACACACAUCUAGAGAUGUACACAUCUCUCUAUCUUCUCUCUCUCUCAUUGAGAAAUAUGCCCAUCUCUCUUUCUCUCCUAUAUCUCUCUCUUCUCUCUCACAUAGAGAUGUUAUCUAUGUACUUCCAUCUUUCUCUCUCUCAUCUUUCUCCUUAUGCACAUUUAUUUUCUUUCUUUUUUUCGCAAACCACUCCUCCGCUCGCCCUGCCUUUUUUUUCCCCUCUCUAUGUAGCAAAGUCGUAUGGGCUAGGGAUGUCAUUAGGUAUGGAUAUCCGAAAUUUUAUCAGAACUUGAACAUGUAUUAUGGUGGUUUGGUUUACCCGAUGCUAAAUGGAUAUGGUUUUGAAUAUAGGUAUUAAAAUUGAAAAUCCUAUAGAUUUAAGUUCAAAUAUGAAUUUUGUUUAUACCCGACCUAAGUUGAAAGUCCUCCCAAGUUGGGGGUGGCGAGUUGGCAGGUCUGUUGGCCUUCUCCGUCUUCCACCAUCGAUAAGCAGCCUUAUCCAAGCAGUGUGGAGUCGAGUAGUCCUUUUCCUUGUCCAGAAUGUACAAAUCGUCGAACAAUUUUUCCAUCAAGUCGACCUACAUCUCAACUACCUAUGUGUGCGUGCUUUCGCUAUGGUACAUAGGUGGGUUAAACUUCUUUAAAUUAGCGAGGCUCGCUUGAGCUCGCUACUGCUCCGCCUCAAGUGCCAUAUGCUCUGAGGUGGAGGUAUUUGUUUCUGUCUUAGGGGCACCGCCCUCGUAGUUCCUAAUGGUGUUGGGCGUGUUGAGAUAGGCAUGGUCGUCACCACAAUGCUCUUAGUAUCAUUUAUUGUAAGGGGUAGGUUAGACGACUUCUUACUCAUCUAUGUAAUGCCUGCUACACGAAGAACUCAUGGGGCUGAUCUACUCUUCUUGGCAUCGAAAGGCCUUAGCUUACCACCUGACCACCCAAAUCAACACGACCAUCUAAUUUGCAAAGCUCACGGAUUUCAUUUAAGCCAGAGCACUCAGGUGCUUAAGGUCGUGUCGACGUGGAUCUCGUCCUAGGUUGCUCACAUGGUACCGUCAUUAACCUAAUCACAAUUACAUUGUCAAUAACUUAGCCUAAAUUUUCAGCUUAGUUAUAAUUACAUUAUAAAUAGAAUUUGACCCAAUUAAGCAAAAGUCCUUGAGGGAUUCUCUUUCUUACUCCCGACAUCAUGUUGUCAACUGCCAAUGUAAUUAUCAAAAAAAUGAAAGAGGCAUCUCCUCAAUCAUUCUCCAACACCUAUUGAAGACACCACAAGACCUGAUUGUUAACUUUCGUCAAAGUCCAUGUUCACUCAAAGUCCUAAAUCCGUAUGAUUAUCCUAAGGUUUAGGCCCAGUGAUGCGUAGUACAAAAAAUUUCAUAGAGUUUAGAUACUGUGGUUUUGGUCUAUAUGAAAUGAAGAAUCCUGUAACUCCAAAAAAAUUCCACAGGUUCAUUUUAAAAGCUGUUUGGAUACAUAUAAUAUAAUUUCAUAGGAUUUUUGACAAUCUUAAAAAAUUAGCCAUUAGGAAGUUUAAAUUUAAAGUAUUAGCUAUUAAAUGGCUUUAAAUUUAAAAAUUAAAGUAUUAAAGAUGUCUAAAAAUAAAUAGUAAUUUGAAAUUUGAAAAAUCAUGACUUUAAACUAUCAAUAAAUUUGUUCAGAAUUUGAAAAACUAGUCGUUAGAAAGUUUUAUCUCCAAAACUAGCCAUUGGUGAACUAAAAAAUUCGAAUACUAGCCGUUAGAGAGCUCAAAAAUUAAAAAGCUAGCUGUUGGAGAGCUCCAAAAAAAAAAAAAAAAAAAACUAGCUGUUGGAGAGCUCAAAAAUAAAAAAAAAACCAGUCGUUGGAGAGAUGUAUUAUGUUUCUUACACUAUUCAAAGUCUAUUUGAAGGAAUCAAUUUCUUAUAAUCACAUAACUAGUAAUUCUUACAUUCCUUUCUCUUUAUUUCAACAACAACAAACUAUGGAAAACAACAAUCUUGCACUUCUUCUUUUGAGGAGAAGGGAAGAAGAGAAAUUUGAGUUCAUGAACUUCGUUCAUCCAAUGGCAAAUGGUGAUGAAACAUUAGAGAGGAGAUGCAUCCACAUAUCCGUUCUUAGUGGCGCAAUGUAUGUUCAAGAAGUUCUUGAACGCCACGAUGAACGAUGCAAAAGAGAGUUUCGAAUGAAAACUCAUGUCUUCAAAGCGUUAGUCAAAUGCUUGAAGGAUAAAGGACUUAUUUCAGAUGAAAUAUAUCAACAUGGAGGAACAAGUAACCAUGUUUUUAUUUGUCGUUACUUCUCUCCUUCACAAUUAGAGAAUCUCCCAUUUUAUCAACAUUUUUUCUUUUUCUUUUUUUUUUUUCUAUAAUUUGAUGUAGUCAUCGCUUCUCUUGAGCUUGCAUUUGUGAUUGUGAUGUUGAAGAUAUGUGAACUGUUAGUUAUAUACCCAAAAGCCAAUCUGGUGACACUAGCUUAAGGGUAUUUAUAUAUUAAUGUUACGACAUAUUUAGUAUCUGAUGCUAUAUUAAGAUACUGUAUAUUACGACAUAUUUAGAGUAGAAUUAUAUGAUAUAUAAUUUUGGUUGUAUUAUAUGGUAUGAUAAAAGAUUAUAUGGUAUGUAAUUCUGAUUGUAUUGUUACUAUAGUAGGCUUAUCUUUUGUAUUAUAUAAUUUCAUUAAUAGAAUUCAAGAAUGUAUACUCUUUUACCCUUCUUUCAUGGUAUUAGAGCGGAAACCCUAAUUUGGGGAUAUCGAUCCAUAGCUAUCAUCCACUACAAGUCACACCUUCUUCCAUAGAUGCUUUUUUUUUUGUGUUCUAUCUCUCCUUAUCCAUGGACUUUUAUCUCCUCACGAUUGCUACAGUACCAGUGCUGCUACAGUGCUGCUACAGUCAUCACUACAGUACCUGUGCUACAGUGUCAUCGCUACAGUGCCGGUGCUACAGUAUUGUCGCUACAAUAACGCUACAGUCUGCUACAGUGUUAUGCUACAGCAAUUUCAGCCUCUUUGAGUUUGUUCUUAUCUCAUUGGUGCUAUUUUCUAGUGUUGCCUGGUUGAUCUCAAGUACGGCCGGUUCAUCUCAGGUUCAAUUCUGACUUACUUUUCCUCUUUCCUAGAUUUGGAUAUGUGAUUACUUGAUCUAUUUUUCGGAUUUGUCUCUCUCGUCGUGGAUUUUUUUUUCUUUCUCUUAGUGGUAACAUGUCUUCCUCUUCCAACCUGCCAAUGGUUAAUAUCAAACUCUCAUACCACUUGAACUCACGAAUUUCACAUAUCUGGUGUGGAAACAAAUCUUUUUUAAUGUUUUGGAGAGUUUUGGUGUUACUUCACAUGUAGAUGAAACUGGUACUAUACCGCCUCAAACUAUUGAAACUUCUUAUAAGAAAACAAGUCAAACCCAAAAUAUCAAAAUUGGAAAAAUGAAGACAUGCACCACUAUACUCUUGUGGGUUAAAAAAGGAAGAAACCACUAUACUAAGAGAAAGGGUGGCAUAUGCCACCCUUUCUCUUAGUAUAUUACAGAUGGUCGUUUCUAUUUAUCCUAAAACUGUAUAUGAUACUUGAAAAAACUAUUAAAGCGUAUUUUCUCGAUAAAAUUGCUUCCAUGGCUUUCUCUCUAAAAUUCGAAUUGCGAAACAUCAAGAAAGAUUCAAUGAACAUGAGCGAUUACAUGCAAAAGAUUAAAUCAAUUGGUGAUGCUCUACAAGUGAUUGGUGAAACUGAGUCAGACUAUAACUUGGUCAUGACCGUUCUUCUCGGGUUACUGGAAGAAUAUAGAGGUUUUGCAAUGCCCUUAAUACACAUCGAAAUAAGCCCACUUUUGAACAAUUUCGUCCACUUCUAAUACAAGAGGAAACUGAAGUUCAAUGUCGUACCAGUUUGACGACAUCACCAACCACUCUCACUAUCGAUGGUGAAGCUCUUUAUGCAAAUCUUGGAUGCGGAAGUCAUGGAGGUCGUGGAGGUAGAUAUCACGGCGGUCGAGAACAGCGCAGUAGAUUCAACUCAUAUCCUGGUCGUGGAUCUCCUGGAGCCUAUUCACAUUCUCAACCUAAUAAUUCUCAACAAUCCUAUACUCCAACUCAUCAACCUUACAUUCCGACGUCUGAUACACAAUGUCAGAUCUACGUCAAGUUUAAUCAUUCUGCUCUUCAGUGCAGACAACACUUCAAUCAUUCCUUUGUUGCAGAUGAUCUUCCUCAAACCUUUGCUGCUAUGAACCUUCAUGAACCUGGUGAGGAAGUGUGGUAUCCAAAAACCGAAGCAUCUAAUCAUAUGACCGCAACAUCUAGUAUUCUCUCAACUUCUAAAUCUUAUAAAGAGCAUGAAAAAUUCUUAUUGGUAAUAGAAAUUUACUUGAUAUUAUUCAGACAGGUGAAACUCAAGUGCAUUCCUCCUCUAAAUCCUUUGCUCUUAAAAAUGUUCUUGUUUUUUCUUCUAUUAAGAAAAAUUUACUUUCCGUACGCCAGUUUUGUCAUGAUAAAAUUCUCUUUUUGAGUUUGAUUUUUCUGAUUUUUCUGUGAAGGAUAAGAAAACCGAAACGGAGCUUCUUCGAUGCCUUAGUUCGGGAACAUCACUUUAUCCACUUUCUUCUAAAGUUGCAAGUGUCGGAAAUAAGCAACAACUAGCACUGGUAGCAUCUAGGGUUAAUAGUGAUAUUUGGCAUAGACGGUUAGGUCAUCCUAAUUUUUUUGUUCUUUCUGCAUUUCUUAAAAAUAAUAAAAUUGUCUCAGAUUCUAUUUUAAAAUUAUCUGUUUGUAAUGUUUGUAAUAUGGAAAAAUAUGUUAAACUUUCGUUUAACGAUUCAGAAUCUCAAUCUGCGCUUUCCUUUCAUAUUGAUCAUUUGAAUGUAUGGCAAUCACAUGUUCCCUGACUCUCUGGCUACAAGUAUUAUGCUAUUUUUAUUGAUAAUUACUUUCGGUCUUCUUCGCUUUAUCUUUUAAAAUCUAAAUACGAAGUUUUUGACAAAUUUUUGGAGUUUAAAAGAAUGGUUGAAAACAUAUUUCAUAGCUUGAUUAAAAUUUUCCAGUCCGACAAUGGCACUGAAUUUGUAAAUGAGAAGUUUUUUACUCUUUGUUCACAAAAUGGCGUUAUUCAUAGAUUUUCUUGUCCUUAUACUCCUCAACAAAAUAGUCUUGCUGAGAAGAAGUACAGACAUUUAUCUAACGUUGUUAGAAGCCUAUUAUUUCAAGCUUGCUUACCUCCCGAUUCUGGAAUAAGGCUAUUUAGAAUUCCAUCUCUCACUGUUUUGCAAGAACGAUCGCCGUAUGACAUUCUGCAUGGUUGUGCUUCUCCUGACUUUCAACUUGUUAAAGUUUUUGGAUGUUUAUGUUAUCCCAAUAUACAAGACAUUGCUGCUCACAAGCACUCUUCUUGGUAACUUCCUUGUGCCUUCUUGGGACUUUCUGACAAACAUAAAGGAUUUCGUUGUCUAUAUCCAAGCACCGGUAAAGUCUUUAUUUCUCACCAUGUUAUAUUUGUUGAACAUGUUUUUCCUUAUUCUUGUCUUUGUAAAUUUUCUUCUUCCUCUCUCUCCUCCUUUUCCAACUUGCAAAUGUUUCAAAAUUUUCUCGCUAAUCUGCCUUUACUGUGUGAAAGUCCUUCCACUCUUGAUGCGAUUUCUGGCUUCACAUUCACACAUCCCCCUUCUGACAAUGAUUCACGCACACCGGUUUUACCGUCAGAGAACUUAUCAAUAUUUCCUUCCAGCUUAAAUUCUAACGCUCCACAGGUUGGUCAUGAGAAUGUUGCCACUGUUGUUGGUUCAUCUGAACUUUGGGCCUAUACCAAACGCCACGCCAACCAGCCUACUGCUCCUUCUUCAUCCACUAUUGAUACGUCACCUUCAUCCGCUACUAAUGCGCCAUCUUCAUCUGCUACUGAUGUACCACCUUCUACCUUUGAUCAUCCACCUCCUCGGCCUGUUACUAUCUCCUCUCAUUCAUCCUCUAUGGCUCCACUGCCUGCCCGAACCCAUUCUAUGCUCACUCACUCCAUGACUAAGGAUUCCAUAGGAUCUAUUUUCUUACUCACUUCUGCCCAAUCUACUCUUCUUACUGAGUCUACCUCUUCACUUGUUCCAUGACUAAGGAUUCCAUAGGAUCUAUUUUCUUACUCACGUCUGCCCAUUCUACUCUUCUUACUGAGUCUACCUCUUUUCAUGAGGUUUUCCAGGAUGCAGAUUGGCGUGUUGCCAUGGUUGAAGAAUUUGAUGCCUUACUAACUAAUGUUACUUGGGAUCUUGUUCUUCCUCCUGCUUUCAUUAAUCUCGUUGGUUGUAAGUGUGAAUACAAAGUGAAGUAGAUGGCAGAUGGUUCUCUUGAGCAUCUCAAGGCUCGGUUUGUUGCUCAGGGUUACAAACAACAACGAGGUAUUAGUUUUGAUGAGACUUUUUCUCCCGCUGUCAAAGCGACCAUAAUUCGUACUGUUCUCUCAGUGGCUCUUCUCUGGAUGGUCUCUUCGACAACUUGAUGUAAAUAAUGCGUUUCUUCAUGACACUCUCUCUGAAGAAGUUUAUAUGACACAACCACUAGGCUUUUUGGACCCCUCUCUUCCUCAUCACGUGUGGCGUCUCCGCAAGGCAAUCUACGGUCUUAAGCAAGCACUUCGGGCUUAGUUUCAAUGGUUCACUUCAUUUCUUUUAGAAAUUGGUUUUGUCGACAGUACGGCGGAUCCCUUGAUAUUUUUUUCUCAUUUUUCUUCUGGCACUCUCAUUCUUUUUUUAUAUGUUGAUGAUAUUAUUAUCACCGGCAACUCCUCUUCUCUUUUGGAGGCUCUUAUUGUCACCUUGCAACGUGAAUUUGCUAUGAAAGAUCUCGAGCUGCUCCAUUAUUUCUUGGGUAUUGAGGUUACUCCGUCUUCUUCUAGUCUUCAUCUGACUCAGCACAAAUAUGCGCAUUGUUGGCAUUCGAUUAAAUCGAAUCGGGUGCGCCCAUGAUUGGGCUCGAUCCGACGGUUAUUACGUUAUCUAAUUGGAUUAGGAUUAAUCUCGCUUUUAAAUUGGAAAGCUAAUUAGAGAUAAAUCCUAAUCAUAUUAGGAUAACAAUUAAUAACCGAUUUGGCCUUAUCUCUUAUGCUAUUAGGAUUUUGGAAUCCCUUAUAAAUAUACGGGCGAUCCCACGAAAAAUAUAGAACGGAAAAAGAAAGAGAAUUAAGAAAACAAAAGAGAGAAACCGCAUUCUCCAUUAACCUAUUAUUCUAAGGGGACUUGAACGGUGGAUUUGCGAUCGUGCUCGUUUGUAGUUCGAUCCACCGCGGGUUCGGAGCAUUAGAAGACCUUAAAGGACAAUCCAAGGACACGUGAAUCAACCUCUACGUUCCGGGCUCAUCACGUUGUAGCGCGAAUCGCUUCCGCAAAAAAGUACGAACGAAUACUUCCGCUGCGUUCUACACGCAUCAACUACUUCAGCGCCACGGAUUUCUUGAUAGUAACCUUGUUUCUAGUCCUCUCUCGACCUCUCGCCUCUCGUCUUAUGAUGGACGUCUCCUUGACGAUCUUUAUAUCUAUCGUCAACUUGUUGGUGCUCUCCAGUAGCUCACAUUCACGAGACCGAAUAUUUCGUAUACUGUCAACACUAUUGCUUAGUAUUUGCAGACGCCUCGUGAACCACAUACGCAAGCUGUCAAACGUAUUCUACAUUAUAUCCAAGGGACACUAUCUUAUGGUAUUCCACUCUCUCGAUGUGUCAAUCCUUCUUUUGUGGCUUUUGCAGAUGCUGAUUGGGCUGGUUAUCUCGAUACACAUCGCUCUACUUCUAAGAAUUGCAUCUUUCUUGGGUCCAAUCUUAUCUCCUGGUCCGCUAAGAAACAGUCCACCAUUUCUGGCUCCAGUUCUGAAGCGGAGUAUCGCGCUAUGGCAUACAAGCUUGCUGAGACGGUUCGGAUUCAAUGUUUACUCCAUGACCUUGGUGUUUUCUUAUGGUGCUCUAUCAGCAUCUAUUGUGAUAAUCUCAGCACGACUUAUCUUGCGGCUAAUCCAGUUCUCCAUGCUCGGAUGAAGCAUAUUGAGCUUGACCAUCAGUUCCUACGUAAGAAAGUCUAAUCUGGUGAUUUGGACUUGGUGCACAUCUCUUUUGAUAAGCAACGUGUUGAUAUUUUUACCAAGCCUUUGUCGCCUUCUCAUUUUUCGAUAUUGCGGCUCAACCUUCGUAUCCACCCACCAGAUGAUUAGCUUGUUGGGGAAUAUUACAACAUAUUUAGUAUCUUAUGCUAUAUUAGGAUGCUGUAUAUUAUGACAUAUUUAGAGUAGGAUUAUAUGAUAUGAUAUAGGAUUCUAUGGUAUGUAAUCCUGGUUGUAUUGUUACUAUAGUAGGUUUAUCUCUUGUACUAUAUAAUUUCAUCAAUAGAACCCAAGAGUGUAUGCUCUUUUACCCUUCUUUCAAUUAAUCAUUUAUAAUUCAUAAUAUGAGGCAGAUAUUCUAUUCAUGUCUAUUGUAUAGCAGUGCAUAUUGACAUGAAUCGUCCAUAGAGUCUUUGUUUGAGAAGAUAUAUUUCUAAGAGUCAGAAAUUUGAGAUAUGUAUUUUUCUAUAAGGACACAAUUUGAUAGUGUAGCUAAACUCUCUAUUCAGGAUAUUUUUUUGUGUAUUUUAAUUACAAAAGCACUCGUCAAGUUUCGGGGAAAAACAAGUUAGAAAAAAGAUUUUACGCGAUCUUUACUUUUUACUUAAAAGUGAAUAGUAACCCGGGUUUUCGAAGAGGCCAAUGAGUAGAGAUGGCUUCCAGCGCGUAUCGGACUCCGUUCAUAGUUAUCCAAUUGCUGAUUUUCAAUGGUCUGAUUUACAUGUGAUUUUUGGGUUAGUUGCAUUUAUUUGUAUAAAGUUCUAACUGAAACACGCUAUGACUGUGAAGAAAAAAGAUUACUUGGUAAUGCCUUUUGUUUUCGUUUUUUGGAUUUCAAGUGAGAGAGCUGAGCCACUGUGAGGGAGAGAUAAGCAUCCUACGUGUCACGCCCCGAAUCCAAGGUGUAACAGACGUCACAUACCUGCUAAACUAGUAAAUAUAUAAGGCUACAGAAUCAAAGAAAAACUAGCAAAAAGAUGAUUACUAAUUUUUCACUAAAUUCAAAUAAUCAAAAGAUGAGACUAAGAAAUUGAAUUUCAACUGGAAUCAAACUGAAUUAUAACAUUUAUAAAACUAACGCUCACUACGAAACACAAGAGAAAUUCGGUCCACAGAAUACCAUAAGGAACAAAAGUGGGUAUGAACAAAUAAUGAAACAAAAGUAGAUAACAAACGAUCAUCUACGUAGUCCAAAGAUUCACAUCCGAAAAUACUAAAUAUAGAAACAAAAGGGACUAAAAUCAAACACUAACUAUCUAAUGUUCACUCGGUCUCAGCCUCGUUCGGCAAAUUAGUCUUGGUACCAGGGCUUAAGCAUUUUGGACUGGUGAUUUGGCCAAUGAGUUAUUGUUGCUGGCGGGUCGGGUCGUUAUAUUUGCUAUCAAAGCCGAAUAUUAGUUGGAAAUGUGAGAGUUAAGUGCUAUGCGGGACAAAGUGCUACACCAACGAAUUUGGUGGGAGCCACCUCCUGAACCCAUAGGAGCCACCUCUAGAAUCUCACAUCACCGGAUAAUUCUGGUCAGUCUGUCUGUCUGUGAUCUGGUUUGGACAAUAGUCUCAUAUUGGAUGGGAUACUGAUUCCGAUCAGUUUAUAUGAGACAUACACGCUAGUAAUAAUAAUUGGGCUUAAGUAUUUUGGGCUGAUGGUUUGGACUCAACGAGUUAUUAUUGUUGCCGGGCCGGGUGGUUACACUAAGGGGUCAUUUGGUUGCAUGUAAUUGCAACUGCACUGUAUUUGUAACGUGUUUGGUUUGAUAGAUUUAAUCCUAACUGCUGUAGUAGGAACUGCAGAAGAAGGCUCAACUGCAGCAAUUCGAACUACGUCCAAAUUGGCCGCAAUUCCAACUACAACAGUUGGAGAAAGUAACUUUAAAUAAAAUGUAUGCUUAACUGCUCAAUUAUUUUUAAAACAAAAAUUAUUUUUCUUUUUUACAUUGGAGGUGUUGAUGCCAAAAUUGAAAUUAACAUGCCGACCUAACCCACGUAUGAGCCAAUAAGGACACGUGGUACACCAGGAGUCGGCAAUAAGGCGCCUGAAGGUUUUAGGCAGGAACGGUUGAGAAGUGGGGCGUAACUUCUACGAUGGGGCGUAACUUCCAUGAGGAGUAGGCGUAACUCUUCCACGAUCAUGGUUACAACCACUCCCCCCACUACUUUCAACCAAUCAAUAAUGUGGGUUGAUAUUACUAUAAAUAGUAAUUUCGAAGCCUGCAAUGGGGUCUUUCUUCCCCCUGAACGAGUAGACCAUCCUUAUUUCCUUGCAAUUUUAUCGCUUUUCUAGGAGUAGUCUAAAUGUAAUCUUUUCUUUUUCACAUUUACUACUUUCCUAGGAGUAGUUUUUAAGUAGAACCCUGGAGUCUGUCUGUCACGCCCCGCGACCGCUACCAAUUUGGCUCGGCCCGGGCGCGUCGAACAGACGCCGGACGGACAGCACCUCCCCUGUCCGCCCAAGACUACCAACGAGAUUGUGUACAACAAGUUCCCAGGAAAAUAACUUGAAUACAUACACAAUCGAUAACUACAACGAGAGCACAAUCAGUGCAAAACAACCGAGAGCAAGAUACAAGUAUAGAACAUACAAGUAAUGAUAAAGAGAGAAACAUCUAUCUAUUACAUUCAUUCAGCCUUUAUAAUACAAUUUGAUUAUACAUUAAGCUUCUAAACAUAAUAUAAAGCUUACAUCUUCCAAAAUAUAAACANUGUUACGAUAUAUUUUAUCUAUAUUAGGAUGUUACGAUAUAUUAGGAUAUUGUGUAUUAUUGCCUUAUAUAGAGUAGUAUCAUUGCCUUCUAUAGAGUAAGAUUAUAUAGUAUGUAAUCCUAGUUAUACUCUUGUACUAUAGUAAGACAAUCUCUUGUACUAUAUAUAUUCAUUAAUACAACUCAAGAGGGUAUGCACUUUAGCCCUUCUUUCACUCCCGCUCUCCAUGGUUGCUCAAAAUAACCUUCACAUACGGAAUGUCCCGAUUCCGUAGUUUCUUCACCUCAUGAGCGAAGAUCUUCACGGGUUGCUCCUCGAAGCUCAAAUCUUCUCUCAGCUCCAAUGGUGUACCGUCAAGCACAUGAGCUGGAUUAUGGAUGUACUUCCGAAGGACCGAUACAUGAAAUACAUUGUGUACACCCGAUGGUUCGGAGGUAGAGCGAGUCGAUACGCUACCGGGCCUACACGCUCCAAAACUUCAUACGGUCCAAUGUAUCGGGGGCUCAGCUUACCUCGAAUUCCAAAUCUUCUAAUUCCUCUAGUCGGCGAGACUUUCAAGAAGACAUGAUCACCAAUCUGAAACUCCAAGUCUCAUCGACGCCUGUCAGCAUAACUCUUUUGCCUACACUGGGCUGUCAACAGUCGCUUCCGAGCAAUGCGAACCUUGUCCUCCGCUUCUUGGAGCAUAUCUGGGCCUAAAGUCAAUCUCUUGCCAACUUCACUCCAAUGAAGUGGCGAUCUACACUUCCGUCCAUAGAGUGCCUCGAACGAUGCCAUCUUGAUGCUUGCUUGACAACAGACCAUGAGCAUGAUCCAAUCCUCGUCUCGAGAAUACCCUAUCCUCUAGGGUUACAAUCAUCAUAUAGUCCAUAGGUUUCAUAUACACUACGAGUCACAUAUGUCACUUGUUCUUUUGUUUACUAUCAACUAGAUGCCACUCGUUCUUUACAAGUUUCCAAUGCAAUAGCCAAUACAUUACUAAAUUCCAUCCACACUUAUCAUCUCAUUAUAGGGUUCCACAUCACAUAUAUAAACGUCAAGCAUACUAGAUAUAAAUACUAA